CAGAGAGAGACAGACAGAGAGAGAGAAAGAGAGAGAGAGAGAGAGAGAGAGAGAGAGAGAGAGAGAGAGAGAGAGACAGAGACACAGAGACACAGAGACAGACAGACAGAGACCAGGUUGGAGAAGUGGAAAUUUACUUAGAAAUGAGAAUUAAACCCUGUCUCUGUGUUGUAGACUUAGAAGAAAAGGAUUGUGGUGUGUGUGUGUGUGUGUGUGUGUGUGUGUGUGUGUGUGUGUGUGUGUGUAAUGCUAGAAUUUAAUCUAGGCCCUUACACAUUUUAAAAGUAAGGGAGUAUGGAAGAAAGAAAGUUAAUCUUAAGAGACACCUUUCUCUUGGGAAUACAUGACUGAGACGACUUCAGACAGCUUACACAACCUAACCCUAGGACGGCAAAUAUUGUCCUCUCAAAGUCACCUCUGAAAGACUGUCAGAGAGUCUCUGCACAGUGAGGGAUUGUGAAAUAGGCUCCAAGACUCAGAACUGGGAUCCUGUGGUCACUGAAAGUCGAUGGCUAUUGUGUCAGAAGGAGAGAGAGGUGGUGUUUGGGUUGUUAUUGAACAUCAUACAUUAGGUUGUGAAAUCUGUUAAUUCUAAGUUUAAUAUCAAAUACGUAGUGAAAGGGGUUUCUGUACCCCUAACAGAUCUAAGCUGAAAUGUAUAUAAAAUAUAUAGAAGAAAUGGUGUUUUUCUACCCAAAGGAGAGGGUCAGAGUUAACUGUUGGUUUGCUGUGAUCUGCUGAGCUAUGGCGUCCUUGUGUUUGUAUUCCCGUGGGAGACACUGUAUGACUGGACAUUCACAAUGCUGUCAUAGUCAUUCAGGGGUUGGAAUUCUGGAAUAUGUUGGAAGAACUUGGUGAUAAGCCCAUGACUAGCCCUAACUACAGAAUGGUUAAAGUAUUGUUAUUUUCCUUUUCCUCAUUUGGAAAUAGUAUUUUGAGUUCUCUAUAAUAUGUCAGAAGCUAAUCCUGUUCACUGAAUGAGACAGAGCUCCAAUCUCCCUGGGCUCAUAGUCUCCUGGGGGGACGACACAUGGUGCUAAACAAUACACAGAGAAUCACAUGCAUCGGGCAAGAAGGGCCAUUAGAAGACAUUGGCAAAGGAAGGGUAGGGGAAGAAGGACCUGGCACAGUGGAGCUCGGAGCUGUGUGGGACUGGAGAGGGCUUUACAGAGACAGGUGCCACAUGGUGGCUCUGAGUAGAGAGCGGACUUAACAUGCUUGAGAAUAAGCAGAAGCACGACUUGGAAGUUCAUCCAUCACUGUGUGUGCCCGACAGAUUUAAGAAGCCUAGACAAUCCUAAGGAAACUACAGUUGGUGAUGUCUCCUGGAGGCCAGGCUCUGGCCUCGGAUCAGUGGUUAGUGACAGCAGUUAGUGACUAAUUUUGGUCACAAGCUGAUUGGGUUUAGAUGGACCUGGGAUAUUAGUCAAGUACACCUCUGAGUGUGUCUAUGGGGUGUUUACAAGAAGGAUUAAGUAAGGGGGAAGACCCUCCCUGAAUAGUGACCGUAUCCAGACCUGGGACCUUAAAGAACCAGUUGAGGGAGGGCAUUCUCUUUCUGUGCUUCCUGACCAUCAUGCAGUGAACUAUGCUGCCAGACCCAAGCUCUUUACCCAAGUAAUGAACUGACACUUCUGAAACCAUGAGCCCAGACCACUCUAGAUUCUUGAUAUGUAGAAGAUCUCCAGUUAGAACAGUGCUUCAGGCAUUAAGAAACAGAAGGCUUGGGUCAUUAACAAAAGGAGUCACUCAGAGCAGACUGAAGAGUAUAGAAUGGACCCUCUAAUUGGUUCAGAGAGAGGGACUGGGGACUUGGGACUUGGGAAUGUGCAGAGAGAUGGAGCUGGCAUUGGGAUCUAUGAACAGUCUGGGCUUAAAUUCCCUCAGGUCUAAAGGACUGAGGUGUCAGGGUUAGGUCUUUGGCCCUAAGACAGCAGAGGUGAGCUGGGGAGGGAGGCAGGGUCAGGUGUGCAGAAGCUUUUUAUCCCCUGGGGCCACAGGUAUACCAGUCUCUGGUCAUCUCUUCCUUUCUGACGUAAUAACCUGCACCACCCACUUCCUAACCAAGAAAACACCAAGCCUAUGUCACAGACAUGAAAGACAGGAACUCCAUGGUUAGGGCAGAACCUGGAUGGGAGCUUUGGACCCUCACAGCCACCUUGGCUCCACUGCCUGUGCCUUCAUAUUCAGUGCCUGGGUUAGAGGGCACUGAACACUAUCCUUUGCACAAUGGCUAUUGAGGGGGAUUCCUUCUCUUGGACACACUUCCUCUCACCAGGUUCUUGGUUUCUUCUGGAGUCUUCCCAAUUGUCCCUACUGACCUUUUUGUACCAUUUGUACCAACCAUGGCUACCACCUUAAGCAUCCUGGUGGUAUUACAGCCAAAAGUGCCCCAUCCUCUCUGCCUAUUACUUGUUUUGGAAGUCUCCCAUUGGACCGUAACUCAUCUUUAAGCAGAUCACACCUUCUUAGCUUCUGGAAAGUAGGGGAGUAGAUAUUACCUGACUUCCCUUAAUGAAGGAGGCUGUACUCUUCAAAAUCACCACCCAGCGUGUUGUAUAGUACCACCCUCCAAGCCAAACACCUCACACCUUGAUAAGAACAGUUUGUGUCUGCUUGUAGAAGAUCAUCACAGUUAGUUUUAUUGAUUGUUGAGGAUCCUGUUGUUGUAAAAAUAUAAAAAAAUAAAAAAAAGUACUGUUGUCUUUUAUUCUGCUAGGUCUGGCACUGCAGUGCCCCAAGAUAUCUCCUAGAUAUCUUGGUGGAAACACAUCCUAACUCUGGGUGGCCCAGACCAGUCGCCCCACACUCCAUUACACUUAAAUCGACACAUUGAAGAACACACAACACAAUAACCUUAGAUUCAAUUAGUAAGAUAUAAUUGCCCACCCAAACAUACAAAGCCCAGUACCAUCCAUCCCUUAGGAACAUUAAUAACAACCUGUAAAUACACAGAGCGGAAUCUUAACAUCAGCCUCCAUUGUCCUGCCACGGCUUCUCCCUCUCCCUCUCCUGUCUCUUCCUCCUUUCCAUUCCAGUCUCUCCCCCUCCUUCAAACUUCUCUCCCGCCCAUCCUUCCUUCUCCUCCAAUGACAGGCCCCCUUCUAUCCUGUAUUUUACAAAUUCAAUGGGGAGAAGGUUCUGGUGAAGUCAUCUGAGUCCUGAGUAGCUGUCCUUGGGGCAGUGGAAUUAGCAUCAAAAUACAAAUAAUUCCAGGGCAAACCACAACAGGAUCCCUCAUAGAAGGAGGGGUGUGGACCAUCACCUGAGUAUCCAGUUACUCCUCCCAAUCAGUUAUAUAUGUGACUCCCUAAUUGUACUGUCCUAGGGAACUCUAGAGGGCCCACAGCAGUGGUUCUCAACCUGUGGGUCCUGACCCCAUAUGUGGGGUGUGUGGGGUGGAGGAGGGUGUUAAAUGACUCUUUCACAGGAGUCAUAUAUCAGAUAUUCACAAUACUAUUCAUAACUGCUUCAAAAAAAACCAGUUAUGAAGCAGUAACAAAAUAAUUUUAUGUUAGGGUGAGGACUGUAUUGAAGAGUCCCAGCAUUAGAAAGGUUGAUAGCCACUGGCAUAGAGUCUAUAGGCUGGGGGACUAGCGAAACUUUGGUGUAAUUGGACUCCGGCUCGUCAGUGGUUCUUAGAGAGACAGGGCUUGACAUUGCCUCGUCCUCCCCAAGGAGAACAUUCUAGUGACAUCCGUGAGCAUCAGAAACUUGAGCAUCAAGUCAAUUACGUUCACCACGCAGUGGAUUUCUGUUAGCAGGGUCUGCAUGAUAGAUUAUCUUGGAAUUUUGUGAAGGCAAUUAAGAAUAAAUAAUGCGAAAGAACUGAGACCACACCCCAGACAUACACUGUGUAUUUUCCUCAAAGUCUAUUUUGCCUUCUCCCCAUGGUGAAUAACACCUGCUUAUAUCUACAGCAUGGGACCGCUAUGGUGAAUCGUAGACAAGAGCAGGCUUGAGUGUCAGGGAAGACUUCACUCCGGGAGUCUAACUCUGCCACUCAGAGCAUCUCACAGGGCUUUAUCAUCCUUGUCCACAGGCCACAGGUUGUCAGAGGCAAGUGGCAGCUGUUAUAAUAUUGACCUGCGUCACGCACAGCAUCUGGUGCAGGGCCCACAAGGAGAGACACUUGGUCCUAGUAUCCAGCACUGUGCUGGCACUUGCCCUCUCUUUUGAUGUGUGGCGCCAUAACCUGAAGUGUUCCCAAUGUCCAUCCCAUCUAGUCACAUUCAUGUGUCACCAUUCUGAUUUUGUGACAUUCACCAGCCCUUAACUGUGCCUCCCUAAGGGAGAAAAGGGCUUAGUGGUUUUACUCUUGCACGCAAUCCUGACCUACCAGACAGGACGUGCUCACGGGUGGAAGAGUGCCACAACUGUCAUGGGUUAGCGAAUAGUUUUCUGGUUGAAUUGAGGCCUGCUGUACAGGAAUGAAUUUCUUGCUUGUUUGUCCUUCCCAGUCCCAUGGCUGAGGAGGUCACAGGCCCCAGGGUAGAACUUGCUAUUGUUAUUUUGCUAAAUGUUCAUGCUGUCAAAUCACCUUCUAUAUCUUUACGUUUUUAGCCAUAAAAACUUAUCCGUAAAACUUCUCGGUCAGAGAAGUUUGUUUUUGUAGUGGAGUAGGCAACAGACAGUCUCAUGAUAGGUUGGAGUGUUGAGAAUCAGAGAUUGAAUGCUCAGCCAUAAACAUGUAUAUUAACCCUUUCUGCUGUUGCCAAGGCUCAGGAAACACCACAGAAGGGGAGGAGAGAUGGUAAGAGCUGGAGGCUGGGGAGGAGUGCUUUGAAAAUGCUGUCUUCCGGACAAGACAUGCCUGUUGCUCUCUCAUAGUCACCAUAGCUGUGCUCACCAGCACAAGACCCACAGAAGUCAAGCCAGCACAGACCUGACCUCUGGCUGAGAUGGACAGAAGACGUGUAGGACCUACCCCUUACUGAGGAGCAGUUGAUACAGUUGUGGGAGGAGGAAGAAUCACCCCUUUCUGAGGAUGUAAGGGAGGCACAGGCGCAGUCAAGAAGGUUACCGAGAUGAUGCAGAGGUAACCAUGGUGAAGAAGACACAGAAACACCCGUCAUGGUAGAGGCAGUUUUCUUGGUGGGUGACUGCAAUAGGAAAGGGCCUGUGUGGAGAAGGGGGGUGGGGGAGGUGUGCUUAUGGUAUCUGGAUUGUGCCCCUCUUUCCUAUUUUGAAUCCUAACCCAAAAUAUCUCAGAAUGUGAUCGCAUUUGGUGACAAAGCUUUACAGGGGUAACUGGGCUAAAAGUAAGGUGGUUUCUAAUCUAGGAAGACUGGCGUCCUUACAGGAUUCCAUUAGGGUGCAGACCCACAGCAGGAAGGCAGGCAGGAGUCAGGGAGAAGGGAGGUCUGUGAAAGACAACAGGCUUUCUUCUAGCUAUUCUUGGUUGCAGAUGUCAGUCUCCAGUACAGUGGGAGAGCGUGAGGUUCACAGCCACCCUCCUUGUGCUUUGCUACUGAAGCACACGCCUAUCGGUAGAGAGUCGUGAGCGAGCAUUUCAGGAACAAAAUCUCUACAUCGCAGAGAAAAUUGUUACCUAUCUCCAAGACAUUGUGUACAUUUACGUCGGCACUUUAUAUAAUUGUUAAGCGCUCUAUGGUGCCUGUGUCACUCAGAAUCACACUUUGGAACCUUUCUCUCAGAAGGAAGAGGCAUAAUAUGGGGGGAACUCAAGUUUGUCUUCCCAGGCAUUCCUGACAGCAGGUAAACACAAAAACCAAAAACAAAUCAGGAAGCCCCAUGAAUUUGCCUGGAGAGGGAGUCAGAAAAACCCGAUUUUCCUUAAAACGUACGGAGACAGGAUUAUCUGAAGUGAAAUUCAUGCUUUUUGCUUGCACAGUCGGUUGCAUCUGUGCAAGUGUGCUCAGUCAUGCAGACACCAUGCAAUCAGGGGACAGACAUUCCUUACUUCCCACAUUUCUUUGCAGUUAAUUCCCCUCUUCCACCCAACCCUUGGCAAGCACCGAUCCGGUGCUUAAUCCCCAUGGUCAGAACACAAAUGGAUUCAGACAACCUUUCAUGUCUGGUGGCUUUCAUGGUUUUGAGGUCUGUGUUUUGAUUCUAAGGCCUCUGAAUGUUUAUAUUCAGUGCUGACAUAUAUGCUAUACACACCGAAUGCUGACCAGUAUAUCCACGCUUGCUUUAUUACUAGGAUAUGCUUAAAGCUUAUGUGUGAAUUUAUCCAGUUGAAUUACUUGAACGUAACCUGAUAAUUGGAUAAAAUUAAUAAUAAUAAAGAUGGAUUGUUUUUCCAAACUCAAAUAUGUUGCUACUUGUUACGAAGGUACUGGUUGGAAGACACAUCAAAAAACAAAAAAAAGUUAUUUGUAGGGUUGGGGACAUGGCUCAGCUGUUAAAAGCUUAGGUGACUCCUGCAGAGGACCCUAGUCUGGUUCCUAGCAUGCAAGUCAUACCAUCACAACUGCUGGUAAUUGCAUCUCCAGGAGCCUGGCGCUCACUUCUGGACUCUUUGGGUACCUGCAUAUAUGUUGGCAGCCAUGCCAAAUAAUUAAAAAAAAAGUCAAAAAGAGACAUUUACUAUUGUCUGAGUCAGGGUUUCUAGUGCUGUGAGGAAACACCAUGACCACAGCAAUUUUUUUUUAAGAUUUUUAUUUAUUUUACGUAUGUGAGUACACUGCAGAGUGAGUCCACUGUAGCUGUCUUCAGACACACCAGAAGAGGGCAUCAGAUCCCAUUACAGAUGGUUGUGAGCCAGCAUGUGGUUGCUGGGAAUUGAACUCAGGACCUCUGGAAGAGCAGUCAGAGCUCUUAACCACUGAGCCAUCUCUCCAGCCCGACCACAGCAGUUCUUAUAAAGGGAAACAUUUAACUGGGGUCAUCAUGACAGGAAGCAUGGUGGCACGCAGACAGACAUGGUGCUGGAGAAGGAGCUGAGAGCUCUACGUCUUGAUCCGAAGACUGGAGGAAAAGAACUGUGAGCUCCUGAGGCUGAGCUUGAGCAUCUGAGACCUCAAAGCCCGCCUCCACAGUGACGCACUUCCUCCUGUGAAGCCACACCCACUCCAACCAGACCACGCCCCCUUGUGGCCUCCUUGUAUGGGCCAAGCAUUCAAACACAUGUGUCUAUGGGGGCUGUAUCUAUUCAAAACGCCACAACUGUGAAAUAUGGAACAGGAACCGAUGAGUAGAAACUUUGUCACCCCAACAGAGAUUGAGGAUUGCUUUCUUGGCGACUAAGACAUAGCAACAUUACAUGCAAAGUCAGUAGAAAACAUUUGUUUGUGCGUGGGUGUGCAUGCACAGGAGUGUGUGUGUGAGUGAAACCAGAGGAUAGCCUUGGGUUUUGUUUCUCAGGAUCUGUCUACCUUGUAUUUUUAAGCAGGUCCCUCAACUGGUCUUGGGGCUUGCCAGUUAGGCUGGGCUGAUGAUCAGUGUGCCCUAGAGAUCCACAUUUCUCUGCCUCCCCAGUGUUGAGAUUGCAGACAUGAGCUGCUAAACUGAUUGGGUUUGGUUUUUAUUACACCGAGUACUGAGCUCAGGACCGCAUGCUUGUGCUGAAAGAGCGUUACCAAGCUCUCACCCAAGCCCCCAGAAAGCAUUUUUAAUGACAAGUGUAUCCAAAUAGGUCCUGUGUUGUGCUCACUUGAGAUGGAUCAUUGACAUGUGCUGACCUCUAAGGUUUAGCACAUUAAGGAGCAGAGCGCUGUGAGUAAUGGAUGCACUAGUGACUGGCCACCGACACCGGGCUCCUAUCCCAACCAAUCAUUUUCAAGUGGAGUUAUUUCUAGUUGGUCCUUUCCCUGGGCCGUGACUCAUUUUAGAAUAGGUUCUACAUGGAAUAGGUUUGCUGCUCUUCUGCUAACCAGAAAAAAAAUGUUCUGCAUUUUCCACUAAGGCCAGAGUAUGAGGAGAUGAUUGGAUGAGGAAGAGACCUCCCUGGCCCCUCCCUCCUUACUUCUGGGUCCUUUAAUGUUUUGCUUAACUGUGACCUCUUCUGGGCUCCUAUCCUGACGCAUCCCUUAUCACUUCGCCUGAGACUGAUCCAGUCAUUCCUGUCUUGGUCUUUGGCCCCUCCUCUAACAUUGCUCAUAUAAUUAUCACUUUGUGACAUUGUUUUUUUUUAAAAUAUGUAUAUGACCUUUGCUACAUUUUCUUCUACAUGAAGGUAAACAUGUCUUAUCUCUGUAUCCCUACAUCCUGGUAUAAAGCAAACCAUCAAGAAAGAUGUAAAUGUAGCUAAAUGUAGUUGACUCCUGCAAGUUACAAUGUGCCACAUGUCACAGAGCUACCCAAUCAGAAGAGCCAAGACCUGGCCUGUGCAGGCAAAGCUGGCCCGUUUUCACUGGUGUACCAGGCCUCAUGUUCCUAUCAGCCUGCCAAGCUUGCAACCCAGAUUCCCUCUGAGCCUAUUUGCUUGGCCUGACUGUAAACACCGCUCCCGCUCUGACCCAGAUCCGCUGCCUCUUCUUGUUUCAGCUUUAGCAGGGUCUCCAGGUUGGCCUCAUCUAUGAAACAUGAUGUGUGCCCAAGGUAACCCUGGUGAAGAGCCAGGUGGGGCAUGCCGGCACUGCCAAGUCCCAAGGUGACAUCCAAUUCUCGCUAUUCUGCUGGGCUACUGGGAGGAGCAAGAAGAACAGGCACUCAGAUGAGUGCCGGGUUGAGUAUCAAAAGCAUGGCUCCCAGCAAGCCUUGCAAGGAAGCAGGUGCAGAUGUGGUGCAGAAGGAAGCCCAGGAAGGAGCACAUAGUCUAGUUAUGAUGGCUGGCUGCCCCUAUAGCUGUGUCCACCCAUUUUGGUGGCAUGGACAAGACUGGAAGCUGUGUUCAAGGAAAUGAAAAAAUAGGAAAGGUACUGUCUUAGGUAGGGUCUUAUUGCUGUGAACAGACACCAUGACCAAUGUAAGUUUUAUAAAGGACAACAUUUAAUUGGGGCUGGCUUACAGGUUCAGAGGUUCAGUCCAUUAUCAUCAAGGUGGGAACAUGGCAGCAUCCAGGCAGGCAUGGUGCAGGAGGAGCUGAGUUCUACAUCUUCAUCCGAAGGAAGCCAGGAACAGACUGAGCAUCCUCAGGCAGCUAGGAGGAGGGUCUCCAAGCCCACCCCAUAGUGACACACUUCCUCCAACAAGGCCACACCUUCUAAUGGUGCCACUCCCUGGACCAAGCAUAUGCAAACCAUCACAGGUACAUAUAGGUAGGUUCUAAAAAGUUAAGAAGAUUUUGUGUGUGUGUGUGUGUGUGUGUGUGUGUGUGUGUGUGUGUGUGUUGUGUCACCAAUGAGGAUCCUAUUGCCUCCUGCGAAUGGAUUGAAUAGUUGACCCCAAAUGAUCUGGCCAUGCCUUAAUCCCUGGCACCUGUGCGUGUAAACUUACUUGUAACCAGUGUCUUUGAUGGAGUAAUAAAAUCAAAGACAUCUAAAGUAUCUAGAAUUUGCAAUGAAUUUUAAACCCAGGGACAGGUGUUCUUGUAAGAAAAAGGCAAGAAGGGAUUUUGGACAGCCAUGCAGAGACAAGAGGCCAUGGGAAGAGAACACUGGAGUGAGGUUGACACUGCCAAAAGUCACAGAGUGCCUGCGGCCACCAUGUUUGUGGUACUUUGUCAUGGUAAUUCCAGAAAAGUAAAGUAACCACCCCACAAUAAAUUUUCAGAGAAGUGGGCAUGUAAUGGACUAUUUGGGCUCCUACCAAAGGUCAUCAGAACCUUAGGGAAUGCCAGUAAUGUUACCAGGGUUGGUAGAAUCAGUAGAGCCCUGGAAACCCUAAUAAGGAAGACUUGCUAAUGCAAGAGACGGAAAAUUGGAAAAUCAGAGAAAGGGCAUUUGAUAUUUGAUAUAGCCACAUUAGAAAGUGAAAUAAAUAAAUAAAUAGGGCCAGUGACCUCAAGUCUAUCCUCAUGGUCUUCACACAGGUUCAGGCUUAAAUGGAGGGCCAGAGGUAUGCAUAAUCAAACAAUCUUGGUCAAGGUGUAGUCCUGCACUGUCUUGGCUUUUGUCUCUCUUAAGAAGCGAUCUGAUAUGUAGUCAGCACUGUGUAACAGUUUUCUGGGAGACAGUCCUCCCCUCCAUCCCUGGACCUCACACACUCACACUGAGCCCAACCUAUCGGGCUCUAGGGCCUUUGCAUUUUCCAGCAUGAGGCUCCAGGAAAAUUUCAGUUCCUUAGGGUCCAUUGUUGCAGUAUUCUGAUAGCUGAAGUGGGGGUGGGCACAAGCGUCUCUCUUCAGAUCUCUCCAUUCUUGCCAGUGCCAUUACAAUGAAGAUAUAAGGGAAGAGCUCCAGCGUCAUGUAGAAACAGCUCUUGUUCUUCCAAAAUUGUCAACAGAAACAAGUAUUUCAGAGGAAGAUGUCUGUUAUUCAAGUUACUUCACCCCAAGGACGUAUCUUCCACUUCUGGAGAAGAAAGCAUAUGAAAAAUGACAAGAAUAGUCAAAUUGACGGAGCAUCUCGCAUGCAAUGAAAUGUGCACAUGUGGACCUGUUUCUCCAUAGGAGGCCCAGGGUGAUUCAGGGAACCUACAUGUAGUGCUUACUGUAGACCAGGCUCUGUUCAUUAAACUUUGUAGCAGCCCAGGGAUCAUAGCACCGAGGCUGACUUAAAGUCACCUAGUCAGGAAAAUAUCCGCCUUCAACGUCGCCAUGGUUUUAGACUAAAGAAUGUGAGUUUGAGUGAUGCUCAAAUCCCACGCUCACUCCAUAAGCUAGACUCAAACAUCGGGCAGCAUUGCAUUAUGAACAGCAGGGAUCCUGUGACAACCGUAGCCAGUCCUAGCUCUUCUGUUUCUUGCUGCCAUGAUGCCCCACCAGCAGACUUGAUUCCUCUACAUUGGAUGCCCCUUUGACAACAGUCAACAGUGAGGUUUAGCCUCUUCCUUACCAAUCUCAUGUCUGGAUAUUGCCAGGCAGCCCCGGCCACCCUCCCCCUCGCCCUCUUCCCCAGGGUGUCCCACCUGUGUUUGCUUGGUUAUAGAACUGGUUUUAUUAUAUCAAUAAAUAUUUGCCAAGCACUUACAGUAUGCUUUACAGUGUGCCGCGUCAGACCACACAUGGUGUCUAGUUGAAAAUGAUAGGUGUACUUACGAAGUAAUAGCAUGAUAAUAGCCCUCUUUUUAAAGAUUUUUUUUGGUGUGCUUUGUAUAUGGUAUAGAUUAUGAAACGUCAAGUUAAAGAUUGAUUCCAAAUGUAACAAUGCUGAAAAGGUAAUGGAUUCUCAGAGAGGUAAGUUAGGUCUUGGGAACGUCGACCUCAUAAAUGGGUGAAUGUCUGUUUUGAGGAGCUGUUUUGAAAGUAGAUUAGGUUUCUCCAGAGUAGUUUCACAGGACUCGAGCAAGUUGGCAUAAAGCAAGAUAGCCUCUGGGUUUUCUACCUCUUGCGUGCACUUGCUUCCCCUCUGCUGUGUCAGUGGCGCAUGAGGUCCACAGCAGAAGCAGACAUAGAUGUUUGGCUCCUAUAUUUUAUGGUCCAGAACUGUGAUCCAAUAGACACACUACUUGCCACUGGUGUUCUCUGGGUAGGGCUUUCUCAAUAGUACAAUGGCAAAAUGCAGAGGCUUUGAAAACACGUAAAGUUUGGGUUUGAACAUAGGUUGUAUUGCUAAGAGCAACCUGUGGUCUUGAGAUAGUUACUGAGCUUUCCUAUGCCUCAGUUUGCCCACUUAUAAGACAGACAUGAAAACCUCUCUCCUGCAUAGGAUGUCACUGGAAAUUAGAAAAUGUGUGCAAAGAAUUUGACACAUGUAGUAAGAAGACGAGAGAAGAUGCUGGGGAAGACAUUGAACUCCCCUUUGGGUCUCAGACAUUCAUGUUCAUGGUGUCAGAGAAGUUCAUAAUAAAGAUGGCUUGCUAGGAAGAGGAACACAAAGUCUAAAUGAGCUUAGACAUUUGCUGCCACAACACGAGGCUCAUCUUCCAAGAGACUGUUCUCUACAGUAACCGCCAAUAAGCCCACGGUAUGCACCUCUCAGCAUGGCCACGACUCAAGCUGUAAUGAUCACAAGGAAGAUGCUGGGUUAUACCUCAGACCACCCCUGAGUGGACGUUGAUAGGAAUCUUCAACGAGCAACCAUUAAUUAUGUCACAUUUACUGUUUGUUUUCAAAUAUGCUAUUUCUCUAUAUUGGUGGCAGUUCUCUAUGGUUCUUAGCAAGCCAUAAGUCUGGGUCAAAAAGUGAAUUGUUUUUAAAUACCACAACUGCAAACUGAAUGACUACUUUGUGAAUUAUAGAAACUAUCAUUAAUGUUUUAUCUCAAAUUACAAAUAUAUAAAUAUAUCUCAUCUAUAAUCAUAUCUAUUAUAUAAUUGUAGUUAGAAUAUAGGAUUAUUGAGUCAAAUAAAUAUUCUGUCAAGUAGUUAUAGAAUUUCUAUAUAUAUUUUUAUCAUUUUUUAAUGACUGAAAUAAAAAUCUGUUUAGCAUUGAAUGGACUUGGCAUGUAUCUUAAUGAUACAGCAUUUUCUUAAUAUGAACAAAUCCUUGGGCUCAGUCUGGCAUUAACAAGAAGUCUGAUGCACAAACAUUUACUUUCAUUUUUGGUAAUUCCAAGACACUUGGCAUUUAAGAGGUUCUCCAUGCAUUACAAAUGUGCAGAAAUGACAGUUACCAGAGAGUGACAUAUGAAGAUGUUUUUAAUCUGCAUGUAUCUGUGAUUAUAUGGUAUGAUGAACGUGAAUAUAUCCAUAUUUUCAUUCAUUAAUCUUAUUGAAUAUAAAUGAGAGAACUGUUAGAAAAUAUCACUGAGUAGAGCUGCUCAUGGGCAUGUCAUGGAACUCAUUGAUUAGAUCUGGAUUGGACAGUAAAAUAAUAAAAUUCAGAUAAAAUUAUAUAUAUUAAGCAGAGAUAUGAUGGAUAUUGAAAACGGCAUCUACUCUGAUGAAUGAAAUUAUUAAACUGACUUAUUAUAUUCAUAGAGGGAUGCAUUUCUCAGCUCCCACCAGAGAAGGUUCUAUGUACAGUAGAUAGACGGUGAUUAAUACAGAGGACCACGACUAGCCAAGGUCCAGAGAAUAAAAACCUAUGGAAUGGAACAACUACACUGCAGUUCCUCCUCUCAAGGCUCAGGGAUCACUGUUACUGUGGAAGAGAGGUACAAAGACUCUAAGGACCAGAGGAGGCAGAGGGAUACAAGGAAACAGCGUCUGGUGGACACUGCAAGACAGCUGCACAUAGGAACGCACAGAGGUAAUGACACCAUGCACAAACGCCGUACAAGGUCAAGCCGGCCCAAAUCUCAGCAAGGACAGACUAUGGACAUGGACAUGAACUAGCCAAGGAGCUGUUGGUAGCUGGCAGCUGUUAGAAGAGGGAGGGAGAACUGAUUUUCUUAAUGAGUGUUGCCACUGGUAGGUGGACUGCUCCUGUGGAUGGCCACCCACAUCCACCAAUAUAUGAUGAUCACAAAUUGGACUGGAUUGGGUGGGGGGGCACACAAAAACCAGUCACAGUGUUGAGUGAUUAGGGAGAAGGUGGAUCUGGGAGGAGUUUGGGGAGAGGGUAAAUAUGAUCAAAAUAUAAAAUACAAAAUACAAAAUACGAUACAAUAAAAAAGAAAGAAAACUGUAUAUUAUUGUGUGGCUGACACAUUGUUCAUGGCACAGACCAUUUACAAAGCAGAGAUUAUAUGGGACAAGGUCUUUGUACAAAUUUUGGCCUGUGGGAACUAUGCUCGGCCCCUGAGCUCUAGGCUGCUGGGUCUUAGGGCAGUGGCACCCUCUCCUCAUUCUUCCUUUCUUCUUCCCUGGCUUCUCAUUGCUCCUUGCCUCGGCUGAUCCCACUAUACACAGCUUUCAUCAGAUUUCACUGCUUUUGAUCUUGCUUGCUUCGAGGUGCUAGAUAUCCAAGUUAAGGCCUUGCACACGCCGGGCAAGUGCUCUACCACAGAGCUACCACAGAACGACAAUGGCGCCAUGGGAUCUGGAAGGAGGAGAUUUCUUGAGGAGUCUUCAUCAUUUCCUUCUCAGGAAUCAUUGUUGGCUUUCCAGUUUCAAGAAAGCCUUCCUUGGUGAACAUACUUCUCUACUUCAGUGCUCAGACUUCUCUACUCUCACCAGAAACCCUCUAGAAACUUCUGCCCAUCUGUCUCUCCAUGUUUCCCUGGUCAAGAGCAGAGGGCAAGGCAUGCACAUUGCAUUUAUGGAUGGAAAUGUUGAAGCAACUCCAAGUAGGGGUUUCCUGGCCAUCAACACAAAAUUAUAUCUUUCCUUCUUUCCUUCUGCUGGAAGGAAGACUACAAUGGACUGGGGGAGAGAGUUGUGUUCAAUCAUGCUACUGGUUUACUUGAACACUCAUUUGCUUUUGGUGAGGUGGGUAUUAUUCCUGUAGCCCAUCCAGGCUGGCCUUGAGCUUGAAAUUCUCUUGUCUCAGCCUGUGAAUGAUGAAGAUUUUGUUUCCUUGUGGUCUUAGAGACUCAACUCAGGACCUCACAUGGUUAGCAAGCUCUCCACUGAGUUACAUUUCCAGGCUGUGAGUUGUCAUAGAUUCUCUCUCUCUCUCUGUCUCUCUCUCUGUCUCUCUCUCUGCCUCUGUCUCUCUCUCUGUCUCUCUCUCUCUUUCUCUCUCUCUCUCUCUCUCUCUCUCUCUCUCUCUGUGUGUGUGUGUGUGUGUGUGUGUGUGUGUAAGCCACAGGGAUAGAGCUGAACCAUCUGUGUUGCCCUGUGUUGGCAUUUUAACCUCUUUUUUUUCCAGUAUAAAAAACGAUGGUGAUGCAGACUAUAAAGAAGACAUGGAAUAUUAUUGAAAGUCUCCCUCCUCCCUCAAAAGUUGCUUUGUUGAAAACACCACUUUUAUUUAUUAGAGGAAAUACAUAGUUUGAGAUUUAGGAAAUUACACCAAAGGGUUUUCCAUCCUUUCAUCAAUGGGCGGCAGGGCUCAGUGUGUUAAAUCUGGUGUAAGGGAUUGUGGAGUUGACUUCAUCCCUGCCCUGCCUCCCCAGACAAGCAGGAGACAAGGACCAUUGGAAAUGGCCUCGCUCUCCGGCUUUUCCCAUUGGCUGGUUCAUCGUUCACCUCAUCUCCUUAGCAGAAUGACUGUGCCGUGGGACCUGACAGUUGCAACAUCUAAUACGCCUCACAAGCUCUUUCUUCCUUCUGGGGAGUUCCACUCUUUCUUCCUUAGUUUGGUGUCCGAUCUUACCACAACUUUAAUUACUAGUCUUCUACGGUGAACCAGGGACAUGGUUUCUCACUCCAUGACUCCAUCCAUUCAGUGAUGAAUGAACAAUCCGGCUCUUCAGAGCCAACUCCCCAAACAAGCAUCAAACCUCAAAGCAUGAGCAAAAUGUGGCGUGUCUCCCCUGUUUUGCUCUACAUGCAAUAUUGUUCCUUUACCUGAAGCCUGAGAAAACUCUCCGAUGCCUUCUUCUGACUCACAAGGCAUUUACUUACUCACCUACAGACAGAUGAUACUUGUGGAAGAGGCAUCAAUCAGGGUUGCUUGGCAACAAAAUAUGUUUUAUUAGGAACAAGUUUGUGCGGGAAUAGUACCCUUCUUUGUUCCCUUAAGGAUCUGGGGCUUUGGGUUGAUUGACUUACUAGCUUAGUUACAACACAAGAUUUUCUUUUUAUACUUGUUGGAAGAUUGGGAGGGAAAGAGAAGGAAUGGAAAGAAAGGGAAGGAACGGGAGAAGAGGGAAGAGAAGGACUCAAGACUUGUUGACAAGUAUAGAUAAGUCAGUUAUAUACAUCCAGGGGAUCCCAUUUCUUCUGUCACAAAUCCUCUAAUUAGGAAACCCGAGGCUUAGCUUGGCCCUGCAAAAGUUUCAUUAUGCUCUCAAUCAGGACAUAGGAAAUGCCCAGAGAGAGAGGAGAGGAGAAGGCCCAGUCAUGUAAAGUGCUUGCUACAUAAGCAUGAGGAAUGAGGUUCAUUCCUAGUACCCACAUAAAAAACUAGGCAUAGCAGCACACACUUAUAAUUACAGCACUGGGGAGGCAGAGGCCGCUGGAUCCUUGGGCCUAUUGGUCAGCCAACUUCAGUGAACACCAUCACUCAAACACUGAGAUGGAAAAGCAACUUAGAAAGACACCUGAUGUUGACCUCUGUUUUCUACAUACAGCACAUGAACUUCCACAUGUGAACACAUAUACACACAUAAUAAAGGAUGUAGACUUGAUCUGUUAGCUAAGGACUUGGCAUCUCACACAGGCUAAGCAACUCAGGAAGAUGUGUAUUUGAAUUACUACCUCGUGACUAAAGGCAUUAAAGAUUCCACAGUCAUUUAGUUAAAGCCUCUAGACUAGUAUUUAUGCUCAUAAAAUUAUGAAGACCAAUAGCAAAGCUACCUGUGUAAGGGGGAAAGAGAUUUUGACAUUUAUUAAAUGGUUGUUAUGUGGUAGUCACCAUUUCAAAGCAUUUUGCACGCAAAAAUAACUUUGAUUGCUUUAACUAUCCAUAAAGAUGAGAAGCCAAGACGGAUUCAGAAAUAAUGCUAUCUAAAAAUAGCAGGGAGUGCAUUUGAAUCUUGGCAUCUAACACACACAAUCUGCUAUACUAUCUAGGUUCUCAGUCCCACAUGACCAUGACCAUGACCAUGACCAUGAAGGAAUGAUGGCCCCCAAGAAUACCCUUUUGCAAAGGGAGAAAGCUUAGCUAACAUUUGUAAUGAAACAUUUCUGCGUUUUAAGUUAGUGCCCAUAGACAAAGGGUUUUGUUGUUGUUGUUGCUAUUAUUGUUGUUGUUUAAAGAAUUCAAUAAUUGCAUGUGGGAAGAAUGCAGUGGAGGAUGGAUUUCUUUUAAACCAAAGUGCUUAAGUCAUUGUUUAACAUGUGACUUGGUUCACAGGGGAUAAACCUGCACAUUGGAAGUGAAAAUGUAAAUAGGACAUCAGUUCCGCUUUGGGAAAUGCCACUUAAGGAAACUUUUUGAUAUUGCCUUCUAGACUUUACCGAUUUUGUCAAAAGCCUAAGAAUAAUGUGUAAUGGCGUCUAGACUGGCAAACUCAGGCCAGAGUACCACAAUCCUAAAGAUUCUCAGCCAGCUAUGCUGUAGUACGUGGUCUCCUUGGAGCUGUGGUGUUCAACCUCUCAGUUCUUAGUGAACCAAGUAGUGUUUUGACCCAGAGAAGCAUCUUCCUUUGGAUAAACUCAUGUGGUCUAUUUUUAUGAAAUGUGGAACAUUGUGAUGUAAUCUUUCUUCUUUUGCUUCAACAAUAGUGGCUUUAACUACUUUUAGUGUGUGUGUGUGUGUGUGUGUAUGUGUGUGUGUGUGUCUGUGUGUUCAAGAGCAUGGUGUGAUACAAAUGUGGUAGUCUGAGCACAAGUUGUGGGAGUCAGUUUAGCCCCAUUGGUUCUAGAGAUCAAACGCAGGCCGUCUGGUUGGGUGGUAUGUCUUUACAUGCCUUUGAUAGACAGGUUAUUUUUCCUCAUUGAUCACCUGGUUUUGUCAUGGAUCUUUUUAUUUAAGAGAAUUGAUUAAUUUCAUUCAUCCAUUCUAGUUAUCUUCCCAAUCUUAUUGAUUUGAUGCUAUUUUGGUUCCAAUUCAUGUGCUCUAUGACUUGUUAUUUGUCCUUAGGAAAGGGGCAUGAACCCACCAGGGUGAUCAACUUGCCUGCCUGCCUAGGAAAUUUCUAGUUAUGGCAUCUACAGUCCUGUUUCCCUGUAAUCCUGUAGGGCCUGGUUGAAGCAGGAUGGUUGUCACAAAAGGUUUAGUAUAGGCAGGAUUAAUCCUUAUCACAAAAUGAAAAACUCUUCCUCAUAUGAAUAGGUUAUAUGGAGAAUAAUGGAAUAGGAGAGACCUUUGGCUUCAUAUGGGUGGGUAGAUAUGAAGGCAAGGAAGGGGUGGGUUUCCACAUAAAAUGAUUUGGAUGUUUUUACUAAGUGAGAAAAAUCUACUGAAAAGAGGCGAAUGGCUGGGAGAAGACCUAUCACUCCGAAAAAAUAAAAAUUCCCAGUUCCCCUUUGAGCAUGUUCCUCUAACAAACAACAACAGCUUCUACUAGGUACAUCUAUACUUUGCAUGACUGAAAUCUGUCAUUUUGGGGAAGAAUAAAAAUUAAUACAGACAAUACAAGGAUAAUUACAUAUUUGUUUCUUAAGACUUAAGAGAAAAUUCCAAAAUUAUAAUUCACUAAGUUGUGACACCAUGAUCACAUGGGACUCUUUGUUCCUUAUCUGCAUUUCCUUAACAACCACACUUUCCUCUACUGUCUGCCAUUAUUCAGUUUUCCACAACCACAUCCUGAAUAGCGCACCUCGCUUAGAUAACAGUGAGGGAAUGUGGCUAUAACUGAGGGGGGGUUUGUAUUAGUCAGGAUUCUCCUGACAAAGAGAACCCUAUCUAUCAGCUAUAUAUCUAUCAUCAAUCAAUCUAUCGAUCUAUCAUCAAUCUAUCUAUCAAGCAAUCAUCUAUCUAUCAUCUAUUUGUAAUCCAUCUCUCCAAUUAUUUGUCCAUUUAUCACUUCUCUGCCUGCCAAUCAAUUAGUUAAUCAGCUGAUUGGAAUAGUUAAGGCAUGGUGGGUGAAACUAAGCAGAUGCCCUUGGACAAAGUACCUGGCCCUUCCUGCCAUCCUCAAAGAGAAUGGUUGAGACUACAGGACCCUGAAGGUUCCUCAUGAAUUCUAGAAUUCCAGACCUUUCUAGGGUUUAGAUAGGAAGAGAAAUAUUUACAGAAACCAGUGUUGGAAGUCUUUGGCAAACAAAGCUAUAGAACUGGUCAGAGGUCACCACACAAUUUAGGCUUAUGAUUCUGAUGGACCAAACACUAAAGCACUGAUAGUCAGAAACUAUCCUCAAAGGUUUCAUCAAAGAAGUCCCACUUCUCACACUAGAAGCUUUUAUAAUUACAAGACAUAGUCAUAUAGAAAGAGUUCAGAGACGGGGAAGAGCAUCUUAGUGUUAGUUGGAUCCUCAUACAGUACAGAUGUGGAAGCAUAGUUUUGAGAGUUCCUGUUUGAGAAGGUCAGUUCUGAGUUUGUAAGAAGGUAAGGUCACAGAGCUGAGUGUCUAGGGCUGACCAAUAAGGGUUAUAUAAUCUUUCAGGAGUCUAUUAACUGGUGUAAGUUUGAUGGGUUUUUUCCUUAUUUUUUAUUUAUUUUUUAUUUACUUUUUAUUGGAUAUUUUAUGUAUUUACAUUUCAGAUGUUAUCCCCUUUCCCCCCCUCCCAUCCUCCCGCCCAUCUCCCCCUGGUUCUAUGAAGAUGCUACCACUCCCACCCACCCAUUCCCACCUCAACACCCUGGCAUUCCCCUACACUGGCACACUGAGCCUUCACAGGACCAAGGUCCUCUCCUCCCAUUGAUGCCAGACAAUGUCAUCCUCUGCUACAUAUACAGAUGGAGCCAUGGGUCACUCCAUGUGUACUCUUUGGUUGGUGAUUUAGUCCCCAGGAAUUCUGGUGGGUCCAGUUGGAUGAUGUUGUUGUUCUUCCUAUGGGGUUGCAAACCCCUUCAGCUCCUUCAAUCCUUUCUCUAACUCAUCCAUUGGGGUUCCUGAACUGCAAGCAUCCUCAUCUGUAUCUGUAAGGCUCUGGCAGAGCCUCUCAGGAGACUUCCAUAUCAGGCUCCUGUCAGCAUGCACUUCUUGGCAUCCACAAUAGUGUCUGGGUUUGGUGUCUGUAUAUGCGAUGGAUCCCCAGGUGGGGCAAUCUCUGGAUGGCCACACAACUUCUCAGUGGGGUCCUAUUACAGAGCAGCCAUGUCAGACAUGGGUGGCCUGGGUUGGAAGGGCUAGCAACCCAUCCUGGGCUCACCAGGUUGGAAUGUAGCCUGCAGAGUUGCUGCUGUGGUUUGCCUGCUCUAGAGAGGCAUCCCUUAGCACCAUUAGGGAGCCAUCACUAUAGUCACUAUAGAUUAGGGGUAGCUGUUCAGUUCGUAUGAUAAUUCUCCUAGGGCUGAAUCCUAAUCACAUUUAUCCCCCUAAGAAUCCUAAUGCCAAGCUUUGGUAGUCUGGGUGGCUGAGAUGGGAAUAGUCACAGAAUCUAUGAAAAUUACCACACACUGUUAGAUGGAGCUGGGUACUAUUGUAGUAUUUUUUAUUGCUAUUUAGUUUUUCUCACAUGCAUAUUAUUAUUCCAAAAACAAACCUGUUAGAUAAUAUAUUCUUACAUGUUUGGUUUUAUCAAAAACUUUAUUACAGACAUGGAUGUGAUUUCAUUAUUUCUUGCUAAGCCAGGUUAGGAGAAGACCAUCUUUUGAAGAGCAGUCUAGACCAAUUUCCUUGAUCUGUUUAGUUUUGUAAUGGAGGCACCCAACUCUGAACUCAUUUUAACAUGCUACCUUGGGCAUUCUCUGGUUACUAGGGAGUAUAUAGAAUCUCCCAGUGCUUCUGGAAGUCAAAGUGAAGCCCCGUCAUUCUGAUCCUAGCAACUCAGAAUGGAUGGUCACUAGUCCUUGGAUCAUUCUCACUUGACAUAUCAUUUCAAAACUUGAGAUUGCUGAUGCCAGGAACAAAUCCUUCAUACCACGCUGCCAUAUUCCUGAUUUUCCUGCUGAAUCUCCUGGGGGCUUUGUGGGCUCUACUUCUAAGUAUCGGAGCAAGACAAAGAUCAAAAGCACAUCCAUGAUUUUCUCUUCAAGCCUUCAAGCAGAACUCAUCACUGGAGGUGCUGUUGACAUAAGACAGAGAGAAGGUUUGGGGAUGAUAAGUUAUUACUGACAGUGUACCCCAUGUACUCCUCCCUCCCGGCUGUGACAGAAACAUCACCGGCACCUGGGUAGGAAGAACCAGCAUCUAGUAAUCUCUCGUAGGUGCUCCCUCUGUGGGAUGGUGUGAAGAUCUAGCACAGGGCAUUGCCUCUUUAGUGGGGGGACUUCGCUCACUUUUGCCUCUGGUGUGUUAGCUGUUGCCAAGAGCCUGAAGGUGCUCAGGGGGCCUCAUUAUAUUUGGGAGGCUCUGGAUUCCCCCUGCCCUUGGAGCCUGCUCAUAGAUUGGCCCUGAAUGAAGAGCAAGGGCCCUCCAAGGGUCAUGUCAGCACCCACCAGAUGACUACUACACAUGGGAGGAGUCAGGGUGUGGGGUCCUGUUCUGACUCCGUCAUCCUGGGCCCCAGCCCCAGCGGUUUCGUAACAGGAGAAAGCUAAGCUGUGAGCGCGUUGCUAGGCUGUGGAUAUUUAUUUUUAUAAAUGAACCCAGGCUUAAUUUAGAAAGCCGGUUUUGCUUUUGCUUUCUUCUUCCCAGCAUUGGCUGGCCGUCUGGCACUGUCAAAGAAUCUCAUUUCUGACCCAACAAGUGCUCGUGGGUGGAUGAGGACAGCAAAGAGGUUGGCAGAAGGCCGAGGCCAGCCAGGCUGCAUCACAGGGAGACAGAGACACGUGGCCGUGCCACUAGUGUCCUAUUCUCCUUCUGUGUGAGCUUCAUUUGUGACACCUACGUAGCCCUUGCUUGGAAUAGCAGGGUAAAAAGCAGCCCUGAAGCUCGCGUCUCCUUCGACGAGCUACACACCAGCACUCAGCAGAACAGAAGGCCUGGGAAAGAGGGUCCAGUCAGGCGCCAGAACAGGUGACACCAGCCACCUCCAGUCUUUGGAGGCAACCAUUUUAACAGAGCUUAUUGACAGUGGCUACUUAGAUGUAUUUAGAUGCAAGUAUUUUGAUUUGGGCCAAACAUUUAGCAGAUAAAUGUCUUUUUUUUUUUAAAAAAAGUAAAUGAAUAGAAUGGACAUUUUACACUCCAUUUGUGACUCUUAUGAAGCUUGAUCUCCACUAGUUGUCAGCCCCUAUGCUCAGGAGUCAAGGGUAUAUAUAGUUCAGGGACAGGGGGGGAAAUGAGCAGUAGAACCCCCAAAUCAGAGAAUAUCAAGAACUGGUAAUGGUUAAAACGAUGUAAGCACAAGGGAUAACGUGCCUGUCAGAUCAGAGCGUGUCCGGCCCACAGGAAAGCAGGAGCCUAUAAAGUAAAAGAAACAGAGCCAGUCAGGGGGAAGAGAUGGGAAAAAAAAUGGUGAGAAGUUGGUUACACCAGAGGCAGUGAGUAUAUGUUUUGUCUUCACCUGUUCUGAGUUUGCUGCAUCAAAACACCUCGUCAUAAACGCUUUAUAAAGUUAACCAAGAAAGUAGACCAUCCAGGAGUCAGAACUUGUUUCGGCUCUUCUAGUGUGUCUGACUCAGCCAUGUCUACACACUUCACUUUAGGGCUUAUUGGAGCCUCAGUUUCCCCACUUAAAAAACCAGCCUUCCUGUUUUUUAGCCUUUUGUUCUCCUUCCAAGUGACGUGACAGGGGAUGAGCCAUCGGCUUGUAAAGCGCCCCAGGCCUCCUGGAGAAAGACGCUUGCGUGAAUGACGGACAUUAGAGUAGAUGAGUCCUCUGUGACUCAGGGAUGGCAACUUUGAGGCAGCGUAGCCAAGCCUGUCUUGUGAUUCAUACAGUGUUACCGUUGGCUGGAGCGGUGGUAACUCUGACUUUGCUCUAACAACUGUGGAGCCUAUAUCUUUACGCAAGUUCUGUGGAUCAAAGAGCUCGAGGGGAUUAGGUUUGAAGAGCGGAGGAAACCUGGUGUUUCAAACUGAUCUGGAGUUUUACCCUGCAAGGAACAGUGGUGGCCUGGUUGGGGACAAGUAUUGAUGUCCUUGGCCAGGAAAAAGACUCUAAUUAUUCUGCCGUUUGUCAAACUUGAUGCCAGAGUACCCUGGAGGCAGGUGGAGUUAAGAGAAUAUUCUUUUUAGCCCAUUUCUGGACGUCUACACUAGGCUGUUCAAAGGAAAAGCCCUUGCCUUGCAAAGUGAAGCCCCGCUGACCUGAGUGAAUCCUUCAAGGUUCAAGCAAGGUGGCAGAAAGCUGGGGCCUCCAGAAGCCACUCUGGUUCCCACUGGGCGGGGACUAUCUCCUCAGUCCUGGAAUGCUGCCAAAGACCCAGCCCCACUUGGGACGUCGACUGGUCCCUAUUUUUAAGAAUGAAGGUUCCACAUCCCCAGUACAUUUAGUCUGUGUUCUUGGCCCUGUUCCCUUUCUUUGUUGUUACCAUGUCUUCGCCUUUGAAGUUCUUCUGGAUUCUUUCCUCGGGCAUCCUGUUUGGAUCCCCCUCCCCCGUGUUGACUUGUAAGAGCCAAGAACAGCCUUGUUUCCGCAGGAGGCUAGCAUUUGGCUCAGAGGAGAGAGAGUGAGUGAGCAGGAAGUGGCUUCUCUCCCUCUUUAGAUUUUCGUGGGGAUUUACUCUGAGAGCAGUUUGGCAUCUCCCUCAAGCCCCUCCCCUACCAACAAUGGUUUAUGUCCACUUUGCCCUUAUUUAUCUAACUAUGUGAUGAGAAGGGAUCUUCUUUCUGUUUUCUGUGCAGACAGCGCUCGGCAUCCCCCAAGGGUCUCGCCUGGGCCUACAGAGCACACCACAAUGGCUGUUGUUACCACUGUGAUGAACUUGAGUAUCAUCUCCUGUGUCUGAUUAUUCUAGAAACCUCGAGUCCUCUCCAGAUCAGGCAGUUUUCGAAGCCUUGGGCACUUUCUUCAUCCUUCAGUCCUCCCUAGUCACAAGAGCGCACGCCUGGUUUAGCUGGAGAAGGAUGGCUAACCUUGCUUGCAUCUCUGAAGACACCAGUGACACACACUAACCACAUGGCUGGUACCCUUCUCAUUCCCCACUAAUGUUUUAGGGAAGGUGUGUUGCUCUUGUCACUACUGUGUGUGGCAAGUCCAGAAACACUAGGAAGUAGGAAAGCCUGCUCUGUGAGCAAAUGAAAUUGUGUGUCCUUCAGAGUGAUCUGGUCCCCCACACUCAUUCUAUUGUUAACAAAGGCCUAGUGUCCUUUAGAAUAGAGGAUGUUCGGAGGACAGAGUGAUAGGGUAACCCAACUUCUUCCAAAUAUCAACAAGAGCCAGGGAGGGAGAGAAAGCAAAGCUUUGAAAAGUGACCAGAAAGAUGACCCGUCUUAGGUCCUGAAGCUAAUGCCUGAGACCAUGGGAGAGCAGGACAAGGCUCUGUAAGGAACAUCCCUUAGGGGUGCAUGUGCUUCUGGGUAUACAGUCUUGGAGAGAAAGUAAAUUUCUGGAAGGUUUGUUAACUUUCUUAGUGUCAUCUAAGCAAACUGCUUCAACUUGACACCAGAGACUUCUGAAUUCCUGAAUUCUGCGGUUAGGUACCCUGAGGCUCUUUCUACUUGUUCCUGUGGCAAAGCAAAGUUGCCUUGCCCAGUCUGGCUAAAAUCACCUGCGGACUCAAGGUUUAAGGCUGUAGUUGGGGAGUACAAAUGAGAGAAGUGUCUGGAUUGUGCACCUGUGCCAGUGUUCUCUCUCUCUCUCUCUCUCUCUCUCUCUCUCUCUCUCUCUCUCUCUCUCACACACACACACACACACACACACACACACACACACACACACACACACAGGAGUGAGGAGAAGCUGUCACAGCCAUGAUGGCUGGGACAGAUGGAUCGUCGGAGCAUACCCCUCUGUACCUCAUGAGCAGCUUCAUGGGCACUUCUGCAUCCAGUCAGGCAGCGUUCUGGCCUGUACAGGUGUUUGCCGAGCCCCUUUAAGGCAGGACGCACCCGGGUUAAUGAUGUGCCACUGAGGGAUAGCACAGGUGAAAUGUAUUCCUCCUUCCUGGUGAUUAAUCCUUAAAGAUGUGUUUGAUGGGAUCUUCUCGGGGUUUCUUGUGGGAGUGAGCUGCAGUUGCUUUCACUGACAAACGGUUUCUUAGCUUUGCUGUCUUCUGUCUUGCUUUCUUUCCUCUUCCCUUGCCAUGCUUCUUGAGAUCAUUCCCUAACCAACACCCCCCUCCCCCCCCCCACACACAUCCAGUCACAUUUUAGAAUCGAAACUAAGAGAAUGGCCUGGUUCCUGCUCUCCCGAGCACUUCACAGUGCCAUGUAGCCCUUUAGCCAGAUCCUUGAGCUCUCGCUUGGCACUGGGUGUGUCCGAUGUUCUAACUGGCUUCUUGAGGCAGCAGCGGGAGAUUCCUCCGGAGCCCGGGAAGGUGGAGGCAGAGCUCCGUGGGGUGGGACCAGGCUCCCGUGUUCCCUAGCUCCCAGCAGCCUGCCGAUUGGACUUGUAACAGGCACACACGAGAAUGCGAACUUGUGUUUCUAGCAUUUUGAAAACUGCCUCCCACAAACCAAAAGGCACCCUCCCCCUCCCCUUUCCUCCGUGUCUUGCUCUUGACAUUUUAAACACAGCGAGUAUUCAGCUGAUUUCGCACUUCCGACACCCCCCUCUUGUGCUGGCUCCCUGUCCCUCUAGAUCUGAGAAUCCCAGUCAUCUGUUCCACUCCAAGACCACUGGAACUUCCUUUCUGACCAGGCCGCACUUGCUGCCCUGACUUGGAGCACUUCUGCCUUUUUUUCCCCAUGCUGAGGUCCUCAGCAGCCACCACUGCUGGGCAGGGCUCGGGGUGGGGAGCUGGGCUGGGGUUUUUCCCUAGGCAAACAAAACAAACCCCUCAAAACAGUGCUGUCUUUUUUUUUCCAUUCCGCUCUGAGAUAGUGCGCAAGAAGCCCGGUCACCAUUCUCAGUCCUGUGGGAUCUGGCCAAAGCUGAAUGUCUUGUUCGCUUUUCUGCUUAAAGUAUAAAAAGCAACAAUAAUCUCUCUCUGCUGGUCCUGUCUUGAUUAUGGCCCACAACUGAAGUGCUGGUGCGGCUCCUUGACUUCAGAGAGUCUGUGUGGAAGGCAGCAGUCCACACUCAGAGAAACACAGAGGAUGAGCCAGUCUGCCCACACCGGAGGCUGAGUUCCAGCCAGCCAGGGAGCAGAGGGGAAGCAAAGCUUUCUAGAGCCAGAGUGGCAGAUGCUAAGCGGUGCCUGGAACUGUUUGCAGGGAGAGAAAAAGUCAACAGGAGGGAGAGGAAGGGAGGAAGAAACAAAGAGGGGUGGGGGAUGGAGUGGGAGAGAAGAAAAAGACGUGCAUAGAGGGUAAUUACACAGAGGAGUGGCCAUUGCCACCUAUAAAUCUUUGAGAGACACCCAAGCCACUUGUCACUCAAUCCAGUUUGAAUUGGAGGCAGCUUUAGUGGACGGAUUUGCUGGCUGAAACCCUACGUGCAAACUGGGGAAUGUGUGGGUGAUGCCUCCACUCCUUAAGGCUCCUGACUAAGGGAGAGGGAAGUGAUCUUUUAUCUUCGAAGCACUUGCCUGGUUUCUAGUCUUUGUUCUCUGCUGUGUGCUAGCUUGAGGCAAAACCUUCUGUUUCUUUGAGCAGAGCCAGUACAAGAGAAUGUUGCAGGAUGGUCAAAGUCCUACUGGAAGCCCUUAAGCCUCACGGUUCUUGCCUAAGGAGUGGGGGGUUCGCUUUUAUGAUGCAUUUAAAUUGUUUAUGUCACUUUUAAGUAAUACACUGGAGAGAGCCUGGGGUGGGGGUGAGGGUGGGAGAUAAACAGAAUGUAAACAAUCGAGGUUAGAACUCUGUAAGAAUUUUGGGAGAAUGCCAACCAGAGCUGUAUGGGGAGAUCAGACACCCUAGACCCAGGCCAGCAUUUGCCUCGUGAUGCAGCAGGCCAGAAGGGGUUCAGGUCCUCUUUUUAGUAUGAACCAUUCCACAGUGAGAUGCUCUCACGGUCAAGGAGUUUGGAAAAGUUUGAACCAGAGGAGAUAAAAGAUAACCCGGUCCCUGGAUCCUGUAGUUCCCAGAGGAUGUGCUUGUGGCGUCUGUAUGUUUCCCUCACAAAAGUCUGAACACAGAAAACAGUCACUUGGCAUCUAAUAAAUUAUCAGCUCGACCACCCAUCCUUUCAUAAGGGACUCCAGCCUGCGGAGGUGGGAACAGACCUGCUUUGGGUCCGGAAAGGCUGGUGAGAUUUAGGAAGUUCGCUGUGUGUAUUUCAGGCUUGAGGUAGGAAGGACACAUGUAAAAAGGUUCUAUCUGACUAAAAAACACACAGAGGGUAAUGAGGGAAGGGCUGUGACUAGAGAAAGGCAGGACUGUGACUAGGGAGAGGCAGGUCUGUGACUAAAGAGGGGCGGGGCUAGUACUGUGAGGUUCUGAGUAUCCUUUAAAACACUUAGAAUUUUAUAUCAAAGGGCUUGGGUGAAGAGAAGUGAAGAGUGGCCAGGGGAUCUUCUGUGAGACUGGAGAAGAUUCCAGAGGGUUUUGUUUGUUUAAGUUCUUGACUUCUCUCUCAUUGGUGAGUUUCAGGUUCUACUAAGAAAUUUACUUCUUUGACCUUCUUAUUCUAAGCCUCCUUGUCUGGUCACAUAGCCUCUGUGUCAUUAAAUGGGUUGAGGGUCAACUGGUUAAAUCCAGUUGGAAGUUUUGCAUUACAGGCUGGAGACAACCUGAAACUUCCUUUUUUGUGCUCUUAACAUCCCCGCUAUGUUUUCCAUUUUUGAGUUGCUAGAUUCUCAUGUGAAGCUGGAGUGGUUUGACGAGGACCGGAACCACCUCCUUGUUUCUCCAUCAAAGGUGUUAAAGCCCCAGGGACUGAGGAUUGGCCUACUCAUGAACUCAUCUGCUAGAUUCCUACUGUUUUCCAAGUCUCAUAACAGUUACAACUUGUGCUCAAGAAAGUCUAGACUCUGAGAGUCAGCAAACAUCCUACUCUUAGCAAUUGCUUGGGGAGCAGCCUGCCUACAUGUUACAGUAAGAAUGAAUCUCUCUCCAGCCACCUGCAAGGCCUGGUGCACAUCAGUCAUCUGCACUCCCAGCAACCUACAGAGGGACAAACAAGAAAAGGACUUGUCUCUGGAAUGCUUUCCAGCUAAGAAAUCUCUAGCCACCCUGAGGAAGCAGCCUGUCCCUUGGAGGUGGUAAAUGCAUUUGCUAAAAUCAAGCAAGCCUGCAUUUCUCUAAGAACGUUUCUCAUUUCUCCAAGAUGACAUAUUCUAGAUUUAAAAAAAAAAUAUAGAAAGAUCAAUUGUGCACCAUCGGCAGAUGAGCUCAUUUGAGUGCCAAACUGUGUAGCCUACUGUGUCCUUGGGUGGGAACAUGAGGCAGCAGUCCUCACACUGACUACUAGAGAGUCCUGGGGACCAAGACAUGGCCUUUAUGCUGCUUAGUUUUCUUCAACCUGACAUAAUGUAACUAGAGUCAUCUGGUGAGAGGGAAUCUCAACUGAGGAGUUAUCUCCAUCAGAUUGGCCUGUGGACAUGUCUGUGGCUGGUGUUCUCUCCCUCUCCCCCUCCCCUCCCUCUCCCCUGCCCCUCCCCCUCCAUCCCUCCCUUCCUUCCUUCCUUCCUUCCUUCCUAAUCGAGAGUCUCCCUAUGUAAUCCUCACUGGUCUCGAACUCACUUUAUAAAAUAGGCUGGCCUUGAACUCACAGAGAUAGGCCUGUUUCUGUCUCUCUCCUGGGUGCUGGGAUUAAAAGUUUGCACCACCAUGUCCGGCUUAUUUUCUUAGCUGCUAAUUCAUGUAGAAGGGUCCAGCCUACUUUGGGUGGUGUCAUCUCUAGGCACAUGGAUCCAGGAUGCAUACAAAGAGCAGCUGAGCAGCCAAGCCAGUAAAGAUUGUCCAUCAUGGCCUCUGCUUUAGUUCCCAUGCCCAGGUUCCUGCCUUGCGUCCCUGCCCUGAUCUCCCUGGAUGAUGGACUACGGAGAAUAAGCCCUUUCCUCUUCAUGUUCUUAGUUAUGCUGUUUUAUCACAACAGCAGGGAAAGUAGGACAACCUCUGACUUAAAGUGACCUUGUACAUUCUGCAGCAGGUUGAUGAAAGCCAGAUUAGUUCCCAUAGAAACUAGAAUUUGGGAUUAGAGUCCUUCAGGCCCACACACAGAUUAAAAAAAAUCCAAACAAACAAACAAACAAACAAAAAACAAAGCACUUUAAAUGAAUAUAUAUUUCCUGAUUGCAAACUUCUGGAUGCAUUUGUUGAGGAGAUGAACUUUUGUUUUAGUUGGUGCUGUAAGUACCAGCUUCAUCUACCUGCUUGCAUUCUAGAUAGGUCUAAGAACACUGAGGACAAUGCACGAAGAAAAUUUCACAGUGGGUCCCUUUCUCUCAGGGUCUCCCAGAUACACAGAACUAAGAAGUGACAGACAUAGCUAUGGCUCUGUCUAUAUAUAUAUGUAUAUACAUAUAUAUAUAUACAUUAUAUAUAUGUAUGUAUAUAUGUGUGUGUAAAUGUAUAUAUAGAUAUUUAUACAUAUAAAUAUAUAUAUGAACCAAGAGAUAGACAUGUCUAUCUAUUCUAUAUAUUGAUAUCUUUACAUAUGUGUGCAUAUCUAUAUCUAUUUAUCUAUCUUAAGAAAGAAGGGAGGUUUAUUUCGAGAACUAGCUUGACUGACUGUGGGGGUGGCUAGCAAGUCUGAAAUGAGGCAGGCGGGCUGUAAAGUCUGGAGCUGGAGCCACAUGAUGGGGUGGAUGCUUUGCUUCCCCGUGGGAACGUCAGUGCUGCUCCUAAAGCUUUGUUUCUCUGAUUGAGUGAGGUCCACCCGGGUAAUGGAGGAUAAUCUCACCUCAAGUGAUAAAAGGUGUCUCCAAGGUGAAACCUGGAUGGCUGGCAGAAGCAGCAGCCACAAUAGCUUAUCUGGGCUGACACCCAAAGCUGAUAGCCAUAGUUCUGACAGGGUCUGUCCAUGAGCCCUGUGGGGGCACAGUCUGGGCUGGGAAUCCUAAGAUGCGAGCUUGACAGGGACUUUAGCUGAGUCCAUCUUUCCCCAGCAAAGAGGGGCCUGAGGGCUGGGUCUGUGGCCUCAGCUCUGCGGCAUAUUCUGUAUGUGAUUGAUAGGGAUAGAGAGUCUAGAUUCUUUAUUGAUCAGGGACUAAUGAUCAGACUGUACCCUUGUCAUGGCAUAGAUGCUCAAAAACACCAGGAGACUUCAUUGAACAAAUGCAUGGGACUCUGGCCAAAUAUAUAGUGUCCUGAUUGUGUCUUAGGACUGUAGCUAUAGAAACAAGAUGUCCUCGGUACAAAAUAUUGUGAUCUAUGAGUUCUUUUUCACCAUCCAAAGGAAGAAGGAAGCAAUAACAUAUCACCUCUCUCUCAGAGUGUCCUAAGGAGUCGAUGAACAAAUGCACUUGCGCAGACAACAUUGAGCAGAGAACUUGGCAUAGGUUGUGCAUUUAAUAGCUAGAAAUUGUUCUAAUAAACAUUCCGCACUCUCGAACUCAGGAUAUGCUGUAGUUGCCAUGCCCAAGAAACUUAUUUUGCACUUCAUUUAGUAUAUGUAUGUAUGUGUGCAUGUGUGUGUGCACUCGUGCCGAGUGCAGACUUCUUGCUCCCCAACUUUCACAGAGAUUCUCCACCACUCGGAAGGUACGGUUUUUGCCUCAGGAGAUAGCUCAUAGCUACAAACCCCCCCACACGGGGAGACAAAGGACCAGCUUCCCUCCCUUAAUUUGAAAUACUAAUACAGUUCAUGGUGGUGGUCUGCAGCUGUCUCCAACUGGGCUCCCUUCUGGCCUCUACACUGACUGCUCUUUUUCCUGGGAGCGAUCAUCCUCCAUAAUCAUUUGAGAGAGAGUCUUUAUCUCAGUUAGACACCAUUGCUUGGAGAGAGCUCUUCUUCCUUGCCUGAGGAAUAACGAGUCCUUUUGUUCAGUGUGUUUCUGCUGCUCUGUCACUGAGCAUAUCUGCCACAUGCCAUCUCUGGCUCCAGCGAGAAAAUAGCUUCAGAUCUGUAGCUGUUACUGUACACCUGGUUCAUCCAAAACAAACCUCUUCCAUCUUGUCUAACCCCUCCCGUCUCUGUCCAUUCAGCCUGGCUGGCCUAUUCUUUAAACUAAAUAACCAUACUUUUAACAACCAAGGCUUGAAUUGCAGGGACGCAUUCUCUCACUCAUUCAUCCCGCAGUUAGAGAUCUCGGAACCUCUAGCCUCUGCUGGAUCCACAGGAUAUGGUUACGCACAGACAAGGUGCAGCACCUACUCUCCAGAAACAGUCUAGGGGGCCAAAGGAGCAAGAAAAUGGGUGAUUGAAGUGGGAUUUGUGUUCUGCGCUGCAAUAUGAUGCUAUGGGAACAUGGAAGAGAAGCCCUCGAAUCAUAAUAGAGGUCAAAAUGACUUGUUCUUCAUUGUGACUGACCUAAAGCAGGAAUAUACAGAAUAGACAUCCCCCUCAGCACACUAUCAAAUAGAGCUGUUGAUUCAAGUAACCAAGGGUUACAAUGCACAAAGAUGUGUAGGCUUGAGCACAAAGAAUGGUUGCUUAGUGAUGGGCAAAAGAGAGAGAGAGGGAGGCAAAGGACGAUGCUGGGCUGUAGCUUUUCUCCCACUCGUGUGCUCGCUUCCUGGGGCCUAAAGAAGAAACAGCUGAAUUCAGUGGUGUUUGGCUUGAGACUAGCCAGCUCAGCGGUGAUCAAAACUGAGUUCUCCCCCUAGCUGCCUCACACAAAUGCAUGGCUCAAAAACAUGACCAGGAUGGAUUGGGCUCCCCGCAUAGUUGUUGCUUAUUCCUGUGGGGCCGUGCAUCCAUCUACUCCUGCAAGACAUGCAGAGGUUAUAUCGAAGCGUGAGUUUAGGGAUGCUAAUUGUCCUCUGAUGCUAUUAGUGUAGUUCGUGCUAAUGGGAAAGUAAUUACCACCCUGUGCCUCUCUGAGCAUGUUCAUUGCCCUCUUGUGGUUAUGGAGCUACUUGGCUAUGGAUCAUAAUGACUUAAGAUAGGAGGGCUGUUAUUACUCUGGCUACGCAAUGGGGGAGGGGGUCAGAAAGGAGAAGGUGUUUGAGGGAGGAUAGGGACUGAGGAGCACUUGAUUUAUUUUUCUGUGGUAGAGGUAGCUUCUCAGGUAUCAGACUGGGACAUCCUAAAGCAUUAGUGGCUUGGUGACUCAAGGUGGCUCUUAGGUAUCGGUGCGUUCUGUUGGCGAUUGUGCAGUGCGUACUGAGCACUAAAGACAGGUGUAUGUUCUGUGACACCACCCCCUUCCUUGAAUUUGAAUCCCUGGGGUCAGUCCAGAUUUCUCCAUCCCAUAUAUUCUCCAGGGCUCUGCCUCCAUCGCUCUCAAAGCCCAGCAACCGCAUCUCCAGGCGUCUCUCUUGUGUUGCCUCCUCUCUGGCACUGACCGUGUUCUGUGCAUGCAUCUCGUCUCUCACUAUGGACUACUGAUCUGAAUCACAACUUGGCUAGCUUCCACUACCCUAUUCUCGGAGCAUUCUGAGCCACUGAUCGUGAGGGUUCCCGGGACAAACUUCUUCACGCAGGUAUCACUGGACAAAUAUAUAAAGUUCCUAAGACACACUCAGCCACACAGUUAGAAAGGCUCCAGCCAUACAUCUCUCUACUUUGUUCUCCUUGCUGUCUUCCGUGUGUAUUGGCUGAAGAACCACGAAGCAUUGCAUGGUCUCUGACUUUGAGACCCUCAGAAACCUUUGACCGAUGGCUUUUGUCAAAGCUUUCUGCAGCCUUAACACACAUACAAUCGCACUAAAACACCUUGACUUGUUAGGUCACCUCUUUCUAAUUCUGUCUGGCUUUUCUUCCUGCAGUCACCCACCCUUUGGUAAAUUGUUAUUUGUCUUUCCAACAUCAAACCUUUCACCAACUAAGACUGUAUGUGUCCUUUGUCAUCCUCCCAACAGCCCUCUCUGUGCCUUCUCUGUGCCUCUGUACCGUCCUCCUAAGGCCCUUCCCAUAGCCGCCCGCAGCACCAUCUUUUUCAGUCUUACCCUGUGAUGUAGAGAGGCAUGGUUUCUUCCAGUCUCUACCUCUAGCCCAGUUGAGGACAUGUGAGAGAUGGUUUUUUAUUCAGUGGCUUCCUGCUGUUUCUGUCUCAGCAUGCUCUUUCAUGCAAUAAAUGGUUCCUACAGGCCGGCUGCAGAUAUCUCUCUGUACCGGAACCUGUCUUUCCUCUGGGCACUCAUCCUAGCUGUUGACUGAGCACUUGGGUCUGUCCUCCAGUUCCAGUCUCGUUUGGCUAAGGUUUGUCUUUGCUGCCUACCAGCUCCAGGGGCACAGAAAGAUGUAGUGGGUUCUAAGGAGGGGAGUAAGGGAUGAGAUCCCAGGACUGCUCACACAGACCUGCUUUUACUGCCAUUUAAACACCGUGAUUAGUCAACUCAGCCCCCACUCAGCUCCCUGUGCACGUUCCAUAGUUCUCAAGGCUACAUGGAAAGGCAGGAAAAAAGUAGAAGGCAGAGGGAGAGAUGGGGAACUAUCUUUCCCCCCUCAGGCCACUGUGAGAACUCGUUAUUACACAUAGAAGUUAUGUAUCAGGGCCACUAGGGAUAUCGAGGCAUGCUACCUUACGUGGCACCCAGGGAGAGUCCCUUACAGCUCCCCCCAGUAUCUAUUAUCCCUCUCCUCCUUUGUGGGAAAGAAACCCCUGACCUUUAAGCUUCAGUUAAAUCCCUGGUCUCUUCCAGUAAAUCAGCAGCCUCCUCUCCCUUCCUCUUGUUUUGUGACACCUGUUGACUGAGGGACACAAGGUCGGCAUUCCCGCACCCUUGUGGUUGUGAGGUAAUUGGAUAUUAUCACUUUCUCAGAAUGUCUUUACAGUCAUGAGGAGCUGAGCCACGCUGCCUCCUGGGAGCUGACUGUGUGGUGAGAUAAGAUGACCACCACAUUCCGUUCCAGGCCCAUCAUCCAAUCACUCUUCCAAAGAGGACAGCUUUGUGGAGUCUCUGAAGGGAGUAACAGUCUAAAGCACUCAGCUCAAACAGAAUUCCAUGCAUAACACCCAUAACCCGUGCUUCCAAUAAUCUGUCUGGGUAUGUGGUGUGUCAACAAUUUCGGGUCUCACUUCCUGCUUCUGUUUUCAUCACCAGCCUCCUUUGGAACUUAAAAAAAGGCAUAGGCAUCUUGUAGGUGACGGUACAAACCCCAUUACCAAAGAUCUUUCUCGCACACUGUUUGCUAUGUAGAAAGCAUAUAUUGACGUGUGCCUCUCUGUAUUAGUAAGGUUGCCUGGUGUGACAACUCCUCUCACACAUUUUUAUCUGUUUAAAUCUUAGGUAGAUUACUCAACUUUUCUGUGCCUGAGAAACGGGGGUAACAUGCUGGGAUGUGCCACACAGGUUUUGUGAAGAUUGAAUGACUCAUUUAGAAUAAUUUCUAUCAAAUUAUUAACACUAUUGUUUAUAGGUCACCGUAGAGGGGUAUUUUUGCCUUUCUUUAUUUUUGCCGUUGCUAUGGACUCCAUGAUCUUUCUUCUAUGUAAGAACUCACAGAACCCUUGAAUAUGUCCUUUGACUCCCUUAAGUAUCUAUAACUCUGAGAAUCUCUAGUUUUGCAGAGUUCCACACCAGAAGACGAAAGACUCUGGGGAAUCUGCAGUUGUGGAUAGACUCCCCUGAGAGAGGGGUAAUGACUGAGUGGGGCCGAUGGUCCAAUAGCUAGGGUGGGCAGUUCCUGAAGAAGCUCGCGGUUGGUGGGGAUUGGUGGGGUAGUGCGGUAGUUGGCUGAGUGGCAGACACAUUAGCCAACAGGCAGUGGGGCAGACUGUGAUAAAGAUACCAGGCCCUGAGCUAGGGAAGGAGAGGAAAGGUUUGCCUGCAUUGAACAGGCACAGACAAGUUUCCCGGGAGAAAUCAGAAGGUGGGGGACUCGGAAGAAUGACCGCGAUUUUCAGGGCCAAUGAGAAUUCUGGCACCUUGUUUUCCCUGGUCGUUGUUGUUGUUUUUUGAGACUUUAUUCCUGAGCUGCUCUGAGCCCAGUCUGGGGGAUUGCUGCAAAGGCUUAUCACCACAUUCUUCUUAAAGCACUUGGAGAAUUUCCUACCACCACGGGACAAUGACCACAUUAAACUUGACCUUCAAGACACAGCGGAUAGGGGACUCUGGCCUUUCUGAUCGCUGGUUCAGCGCUAUCUCUGGCCACUGCCACCUUCUAAAAUCUUCAGUUAGUGUGGUUAACAUUAAUAUGUGAACUGGAUGAGGGCGAAUUAUUUCUAGAAUUAUCAGCAAUAUUCUAGACUAUAAGAAGCCCUUCCUAUCUAAAGGGCAAUUAAAAACAACCCUUUUCUUCCUCGAUUAGUAAUCUACCUCGGAUGGAAAAAGCUAGUGUGAGCACCCUGGAGUCCGAGAUACCUUUGAACUACCAUAUACUGCCUCUGGUCCUUUCAUUUAUGGAACAGCUCCUGUUGUCUCACAUCUUUACCUUUUCCAGGUACUUCUAAGAAACAUCCAACAUUACAUGGCAAAACAUUUACAAAUCAAAAACAUUAUCAACAUUCCUAUGCCGAUGUGCCCACGGUGAAUUAACUGUAAAAUAAUAUCCCGGGCCAUGUAGAACCUCUAUUUUAUAUGCAGUGAGUAACAUCUGAGGUUAAUCUUAUCAGGCAUGGUUUUAAAGUACUUCAUAUGCGCGUGUGAUUGUGCGUGUGUGUGUGCUGUGUAUGUAUGUGUCUCUGUUUAUGUGUGUGUAUAUGUGUGUGGUGUGCUGUGUGCAUAUGAAUGUUUGUGUCUGUGUGUGCUGUAUACGUGUGUGUGUAUGUAUUGUGUGUCUGUGUGUCUGUAUGUUUCUCUAUAUGUGUCUGUGUUAUAUGCAGUGAGUAAUAUCUGAGGUUAACCUUAUCAGGCAUGUUUUUUUUGUGUCAGUAUGUGUAUAUAUUUGUGCAUAUCUCUUUCUGUGCAUCUGUGUAUUGUGUCUCUGAUUUUAUAUUUGUAUGUGUACACUUUUUGCAGCUAACUUUAGAUGAAACAAUGUUCAUUAAUGAGUGAAUUGUGGAUUUACAGAUGGCCACCAAGGAUAUGAAACUAGAACAGAGCAAAAUAUGCAAGUUGUCAAAUCAGUAGGGCAACAAAGAACCUCCCCAAUCCACAAAUGUCAAGAGCAAGGCUCAGAAAGCUAAGCUAUUUGAGUUGAAGACAUUGUUACAGAGUGGCAGAAGCAGCUUUUAGUGUUAAGGGUGUUUCUCCUAAUAACAUAAUUCUUGAAGCAAGAAGAUUUAAUUACCGUGCUUUCGACCGAGAACAAGCCUAGAGAGAAAAGAACUCUUGCACUCGCUCUCCUUCGCCUCCUCCUCCCCCAGGCAGUGAUCUCUGAGGCAGGCUGUUCGUAUGCACAGGCUAAUUUUACCAACAACUCUGGAAAGCUGCACUUGUUAGGAACAUAGUCAGAAAGCAGUUGACGUUGUGAGACUUGAGUUCAUGUUUGCAGGCAUCUAAUGGAACAGUGAACUCAGCGCCCGGCUUAGGGAAGCAAUCUGUCUCCAUGGCAGGGGAGACACUGGGGAAAGACAUCCUAGACCAUGCCUCUGUAGAGCCAAUUCUCCAGUCGCACUAGUCAGUUCAAAGGUGAUCAGCAUUCAGCUGUGGAUGAGCUCUGGGGGCCAGGAUACCCGAGAAAGGUGCACAGGCAAACACCCUUACAUUCCGGAGCCUGACCCCGCUCCCGUCUUCUGACUUGCAUCUCUCUGUGUAAGCAGUGAAGCUAGACUUCCCAGGUUCCUUCUUCUGGGAUCUGCAACUUGUUGUGUAAUGGUCUUUAGUCUGUGUGUCUAACCCCAUUUCACUAACUGGGGAUAACACCUGACACAACCCUUGUAGGAUGAUGUAAAAAUGAAAUGAACUCCUUUAGGUGAAUACCCUUGGGCCGGCGUUCUGACGUGUUAUAUGUCCUCUUGUUACUAUUAUUGUUACCUAUUGUUUCUUGGUCAUAGAAGGAGGGUGUAUAUUUUAAUUUUUUCAAUUGUGUUCUUAUAGGAGAGGGAAGAAUAUCCAAAUUAUCUGAGGUACUCAAUAAAAUAUGAUUUCCUCUCCAUCUUCUGUCACCAGCUUUCUGGAAAUCAAGGUACUAUAGGUCCAGGGUGAUAUACAUACAUACACACAUACACACAUACAUACAUACAUAUAUACAUACACACAUACACAUCAUACAUACAUACACACAUACACAUAUACAUACAUGUGUGCACACAUACACAUCAUACAUGCAUACACACACACACACACACACACACACACACACACACACAUUUUUAUCCUGACUCUUGACCUUACUGUUCAUAGGAACCCUAACUUUUAGAGAUUUUUCUGCAGUCUAAAGGGUAUUUUUGUGCUGGGAAGAUUACCAGGGUAGUGGAUGGUUGGGUUGGGCAGAGCACAUGUUUAUUUUACUUUUUUAUUGCUGUGAUAAGAUACUAUGACCAAAGCAGCUUCUAAAAGGAAGAGUUUGUUUUGGACUUACAGUUUCAGAGGUUGAGAGACCACGAGGGUGCAGAGGAGGCAGUGGGCAGCAAGAAGCUUGAACAGUGUCAGAGAGCUUAUGGAGAGCUAUGUCUCAAACCAGGCAGAGAGGGUUAACUAGAAAUGGGCAGGUCUUUUGGAACCUCAGAGUCCCUCCAGUCCCCCCUUGUAGUGGCACACUUUAUCCAUCAGGGUCAUCCCUCUUAGCCCUCCCCAAACCCAAACAGCAACCAACUGGACACUAUGUAUUCAAUUCCUGAGCCUAUGGGGAACAUCUCAUUCAAGCAACCACAAUAUGAUGUAAACUUCAUCUCCUGUCGAGAGAGAGAGAGAGAGAGAGAGAAAGAGAGAGAGAGAGAGAGAGAGAGAGAAAGAGAGAGAGAGAGAGAGAGAGAGAGAGAGAGAGAGAGAGAGAUUGAAACCAACCCAGUGUACAGUCCCGACAUCCUUCCACUUUAUACUCUAGAUCUGCAGAUGAGCCCCUUAAAGCCACCGAUGAUAUUAUAAAGACUGUAUGUAUUUGGGGCCACUAAGACCUUGCAACUUCAAUUUUAAUUGCACAGUGUUGCAUGUAUUUAUGGGCAGCUGCCUUUCAAUAAUAAUCUGUGAGGCUGUGUUUCCAGGUCGGUGCACAGAAGUGCAACUCAUUUUUAUAGCUGUGUUCUUAAAAAACACUUUUUGUUACUGGGUAUGCAAAUGUCUUCCUGAGAGCUUUUGUUAAUUCUGAGGCACUGUAUAACAAUGGAGACCUUUUACACAGGUCGCUUAGCCUGGUUUUCUUAGGAUACAGUCCUCCUAGUAUAAUGGUUUGGUUGUAAGCUGGACUUCUUGGUAAUUUCAAGGUGCAUUUCUGAAGCCCUUGAAAGAGUUCAUCACUGCCUGUUCCCCAAUUUCCCCCGGCAUAACAUGUGUACUCUUAGAAGGAGGAAAGCUGACCUAGACCAUCUUUCCAAGUGAAUGCAACUCUGAGCACAAGAUGAUAAUUUGUGGUUGGUGAAGUAGUUUCGAUUUUACAAGUGAACUGAACCUUCCUUGUUAGACAAUGUGUGACCGCCUCUUUCCUGACACCACUGUGCUCUUAAUGUUGAAUUAAGUAUUCAACACUGGACAUCAUCAGCAUCGACCCACCUUCUACACCUGCUUCUUCUCAAUGAUUCCUGCUCUAGGAUUGUAAAGAAGUCCUUGGACCUGCAAGGGUGGGUCAAGGUAAGUGUGGAUGUGGGGACUCAUGAAAUCAGAAGAAAAGUCCACAAGAGAGAGGUCGGUCGGUCAGGGAGCAGGACAGAGCCUCUUCCCACAUUUCUCUGCUCUUUGCUCACAGUCAUUAGCAGCAUAAUGUAACAGCCUACUCCCCCUCCCACCCUCCUAUAAUCUCCUGCAAUUCCAUCUAUGCCUGUGUUUUCAUACUGUGUUGUCUCACUUCAUUGGCUGUGUUAUAACUCCCAAUAAGUGGCACACAAUGGAUGUCCCAUCCCCCAAAAGCUGGCCCCAAGUAAAUGGCUUUAGGGGGCUUAACAACAAAUCUGAGGCAUUCCAAAUGGAUUCUGCAAGGAUUCUAAAUUCCCAGAACCCAGCGUGACUGUUCAUCGCUAGAUCUAUCUCUUGGAUGCAGGAGGCAGAUAUCCAGCGAUGUGAUGAUGCAGACCAUUGGCUUUUGUGACCUAAUGGUUCCCAUGAAGAGAGGAAUGCAUGUCUUUAGAACAGGAGGUGCAGACCAACCAGCAGCAGUGGAAUUAUAGGCUUCGUCUUCUGCAGGCAUCACUUACCAGUUUAUUACCAUGGAGACAAAACCCUGUCUGUCCUCUGCAUUUUCAAGUGGUUUAUUAACCUUUGACUGUGCACAUCUUCUCCACAACUAAAAGCCACUUAAAGGAAGAAAGCAAGAAAGCAAGCAAGCAAGCCAUCAGGCUUUUCUUACUGAUUGAGACCAAGAUUAUUUACAGCAGGAAGUGGUAAAAUAUGGUUUCUUGUGGUAAAAUAUGGUCUGAGGGGUGUUUCCCAACAAGUGAUUUCACUGCUUUGUGCCUCAGUUUCAUCUUCUGUGAAAUGAGUUGUUUGUACAGCAUUUUUAAAAAUAGCUCAAAAAAAAAAAAACCCCAAGAGAUAACCAAAUGGGAGAGGCUGUUAUGGGCAGAAAGGGAAAGCUGAAUAAAUACAGCUGGUCUUAACAAUAAUUAAGAACUGUUUGAUAACAUUAAUCUAAAUGGAGAGAAGCUCAAAGCAUUUCCACUAAAACCAAGAACAAGACAAGGUCGCCUACUGUCUCCACACAUAUAGUACUAGAAGUCUUAGAACAAUAAGACAAUUGAAGGUCAAAGGGAUGCAGAGAGGAAGGGACCAAAUUCUCUUUAUCUGAAGAAUAUAUAACAGCGUAUAUAAGUAAAUCUAAAAAUUCCACCAGGAAACUCCUACAGCUGAUAAACACUUUCAUCAAAGUAGCAGUAUACAAAACGAAUACAGAAAAUCAGUAGCUUUCCAUAUACAAAUAGCAGACUGAGAAAGAAAUCAGGGCAACAAUACCUUUUACAGUUGCCUCAAAAAAUAAUUUAGGAGAACUAACCAAUCAUAGGGAAAACAUGUAUGAUAAAUGUUUUAAGACACAAAAGAAAGAAAUUGAAUAAGAUGGAGAAAUCUUCCAUGCUCAUGGAUUGAUAGUAUUAAUAUAGCAAGAAUGACCAUCCUACCAAAAGCAAUCUACAGAUUCAAUGCAACCACUAUCAAAAUUUCCACACAAUUAUUCACAGAAUUUGAAAGAUGAUUUUCACUUUCAUAUGAAAACACAAAAAAAUAGUGAAAACAAUCCCGAAUGAUUAAAAAAAAUUUGCUAGGAGCAUCACCAGCCCCAAUCACAACUUGUCCUGCAAUAUUUUCAAAAAUGAAGUCAUGAAAUUUGCAGGUAAAUGGAUGGAAAAUAUCAUCCUGAGGUAACCCAGACCCAGGAUGACAAAUGUGCUUACGUGUGAUAUCAGGUGUUAAGUCUUUAAUAAGUAAGCUGUAAGCUAUAUAACAACCAAAGUUAGCUAUAGAGUAAGGGACUUGGAGGAAAGGUAGAGCUCUCUAGCAAGGAGAAAUUGAAUAGCUGUGGCUGGAUGAAGGAGGGGAUUAUAUCAAAUAGCUAGGAGAAGAAGGGGGGGAGGAGCCACUUCAGGGACAUCUAAAAUUAAGGGACAUUUGAGGGGCUGUAUGGAAAUCUAAUACAGUAUAUACUUCCUAUGACAUAUACAUAUAUGAACGUGAUCUAAAUGAAACUACCUAAUAUCAGGGUGGCAGAGCCUCAACUGAUUUUCUGUUGUCACCAAAUGGAGCUUCCAUUGCCAGGAUUGGGACACAUCUAGUUGACAUGUUGGCCGGAGGGGCCCUAUGAGAACUCUCAAACAACCCAGGCUAUUGGCUGUUCUCUACAAACUGAUGGUAAGGUCCCAUUGCUGAAGACGACACUUACACGACUCAUUGAGAAUGGAGGAGUUAAGUUGUUGGUGUCUGCCCAGAGCUGUCACAGUACUGGAAGGCACUCUGUAUGCUACUAAAGGAGAAAGGCAAACAUCAACCCAGGUACCCGCCUACAAGACGCCCAGGUGCAAUCGGGGCAGAAAAUUUGUGGUAGUAACCAAGCAGCAUCAGUUUGGAUUUAAGGCUCACUCCCAGACAUUGACUGGAGGGCCAAGAACCUGAGACUAUACACACUAGGGACCUCAGUGAAAACCAAAUACUAGUGUUCGGCUAAAGGAAGACAGGCAUAUAAUGACUCUUAAUGACAUUCUGAUAUACUCAUAGAUCAUUGCCUUGCCCAGACAUCAUCAGAACAGCAGAUGGGACAAAAACAGAGACUCAUGCCUAGACAAUGUACUGUGAGAGACCUGGGGACAUUCAGUUCUAAAUGGGAUGACUCCAUCUAAUUCCCCCACCCUCCCCCCAAUCUUGCCUCCAGCCAAGCCCUACCCAACUCCCACCCAGGGCUCUCAGGACUCUGUGGCAGAAAAGAUUGUAAAAGCCAGAAGGGAUGGAGGAGACCAGGGAAACACAGCAGCACCGAUGCACAUAUGAACUCACAGAGACUGCAGCACAUAGAGGGCCUGUGUGGGUCUGCAUCAGAUGCGGUCCCAGCUCUGAGAGAAGAGGACAUGUCACCAUCCAUAAGCUGGAUACUAUCUCCAGUUGAUCACCACUCACAAACAAAAAAUUAGUUCUCUCCAAUGGAGUUUCACUGGGAAGACAGUAUUCUUUAGCCUGGGCCCAUCCUCAGCAGUAGAUGGCCAACACGAAACAAACUUUACACAUCCAUGGAAGUCCUUUGUCUCAUAAGAUUUUGUCUCUGUUCAUUUUGGUCUAUUCUGACUUAUCAUUUCUGUUUAUUUUUAUUUCGUUCUUUGGGUGCCUGCUUUCUGUGGGGAGACAGGAGGAGUGUGGAUUAGAUGGGAGGAGAUGUUGGUAGGAUCUAGAUGGGAUUGGGGAAGGGGAAACCUUAAUCAGAAUAUAUCGGAUGAAAAAAAUAGAUUUUUCAGUAAAAGAAAAAUAGAAGAAAAACCUGUUGUGUGGUGAAACAUAGGUACUGAAACCUUCCUCCUGUGGUUCAGGGAUCCUUGAGGAAGAAGGGACAGGAGGAGUUUCAGAGCCAGAGGUGGUGAAUGACUCCAAGGAAACACUGUCUUCUGGACAUAGCAGGGCAGCUGAGCCUAUGCACUCACAGUGGUUGAGACAAUGUGCAUAAGGCCUCUGCAAGCCAAAGCAGAAUCAAAUUCCAGCAUGGGGAGAGAUGGGCCACACCAUCCCACUGCUAGCAGAGGAGAGGUAGCUUCGGGAGAAGGAAAGUUGGUUUUCUAUAAGGCUAUGUAGCCAGCCCCUAGUAAGUUGAUCACACUUCAGGCCACGCAUCCAAGAAUACUUGGGCACUACAAAUUGGCCUGAAUUCAGUGGUGUGAGAGAUUGGCCUUUGAUCCAAGCAAGUGCUAUCUUGAGGAGUUCCCUUGGAUCAUCCCAUCUGGGCUGGUUGAAGGUUUAAACCUGCACAGUGGGGUGGAGUAGGUCAUGAGAUUUUUAACCUGAGGGGAGGAGAUAGAGUACACGGAGGCUAGAGAGCACUAGAGAAGGGCCUUCAUCUAUGUGUCUAAAGGGAAGCCCUCAGACCUGAUGCUAAGGCUUUCCAGGAGCAGUCAGUUGAGGGAGGAGGACCCACAGCCUUGCAAGCCCUCACUAAUGCUCUGUAAGGAGGCCCAGUUAGCUCCUUGGUUCCGCAGAGGAAGCUCUGGUGGAAUCGUGUGUCAGUUUUGUUUAGGACUUUAGGAGAAGGGAUAGAUGCUGUUAUGUUUCCUCCUGAGAAGAGAUUUUUAGCAACAUGGGGUAUAAGAUGGUGAAUAUGAUCAAACCAUACAUAAAAUUCUCCAAGAACUACUACAAAUAUUUAAAAUGAACUGCUGGGUUGGCUGUCAUUUUAGGUUAACAUAUCUUGAUAUAAAACAGUACUGUGAGUACCAUGUGAUAUUUCUUUUGCUGGCUAUGGGGUUAGACAGAUCUGAGAUUACGUGCUUUCCCCACCUACUAGGCCACCCUGUGUAUUCCUGGUACAUUGCAAUGGUACAAUACACGAAAGCUAGCAGUACUUAUUCUAGACCUAAACUAUGGGCUUCUCAGCAUUAACCAGUGGAUUUGUCCUUAACAAACUGCCACAACCUUGACACCUGAGAACAACAGAAAUGUCCCACAUUUCCAGAGACCAAAUUCCUUACAAAUGUCACGCAUUUCCGGAGACCACACUCCCUACAGAGGCUGGGGAAGAAUCAUCUCCCACCUAGCUUCUGGAAUCUUCUGGAAGCUGCCAGGAUUCCUUGGUGAUUUUUGUCUUGUGUCUGCAGUCCUUCCACGGUCUGCCUCUGCCCUCACAGUGAUGUCUUCUCUGGGGGGGUGUCAUGUUCUUGCACCAUUCUUUCAAGGUGUUUAGAGCCCACCCAGGUAACUCCAAACUCCAUUUAUCUCAAGAUCCUUAAUGUAGCCAAAUCCUCAGACAUUAUUCUACUGUAUAAACCAACAGUCAUGGGUUCUAGAGCUUUUCAACGGAUUUCUUCGAGGGCAAUUCAGUCUAGCAUGACCUCUUAAGAGGUGACAGACUAUCCUGGCUUUUCAGGAAUACUUCUUUCUUUCCUAGUUAGAAAAGAGAAAGCAAAGGCAAAUUACUAUGGUUUUAUUUACUAGAAUGUCAAGAGCCAUGUUGAUGAGGACACUUAUGGAUUGAGAUUGUCUACAUAAUUACAUACCAAAAAAACCUCAUAUGAAUCCAACUGUGAAGGGUGAAAUGAAUACAAUAUAAGGGGCUUCUUGGUAAGAGGAACAUAAAAUAACCGGUUCAAAUCAUGUAGUGUGUUAGUCUUUUUUAUUGCAGUACCAAAAUACCUGAUGCCGGGUCAUUUGUAAAGAAGAAGGGUUUAUUUGGCUCACGGUUUUGGAGCUUGGCAGCAGCCUCUGCUUGACUAUGGUGAGGUGCCCAUGGGAAAUGGCAUCCUGAAGGUGGGAACACAUGGCAACUAGGGGACAGACAGCAGGGAGGGGCUGGCCCAACUUUUAUAACAACUGCUCUCUCCAGAACUAACUGGAGUCUCAGGAGAAAUUAAUCCCUUUUGGUGACAAUGUUCCUAGGAAUCUAAUCUCCACCCUUAUGAUUCACCUCUUAAAGGUUCCAUUGUUCUCCAAUAUCACCACCCUGAGGCCCAGGCUCCCAGUAUAUGAGCUGACAAGGGACAAGGGACAAGCUGUAUCCAAUAAUAGCAGAUAGGAAAGUGAAGAUCUCCUUAGAAAAGACAACACAGUAAGUCAUCUGUCCAAGAUGGCCAUAAACAGUAAUGCAGAUGAAAAUCCCACGGAGCCCCCUGUCCACGGACUAAGUAGUUAGGAACAGCAACGCCUCAAGUGCUUUUAACAGGAUGGACCGUGCUAUCCUGGAUCAGGGUCAGUCAAGUUACCCUCUAACUAAUAAAGAUUUAGUCCAUGUUAACCAACACAACAUAAUUUAUUUCUCUUUUGAAAAAGAUGUCAUAUAGAAGCACACCCACGUAUCUGAGUCUCCAUUCUAAUUCAGGAUCAAGAAAAUAAAGUCCUGUGUUACCUUUGAAGUUCUCAGCCUUCAACUUGAGACAGGUUUUUCCUCAGAUCCUAGGUCCUGCCCAGACAGAGAAGGCAGUGUGACUAAGAGCCUGGUGACAUCUGGCUGAGACGCAGCAUAUCCCUUGUCUGUGACCUAAUUCUCUUGAAUCUCUCGUGUACUCUUGUGUGGCUAGUGAGAAAGUGUGUUUACGGACUGAAUAGUGGAGUUGGAAGGAUGGCGUAGUAGUCAAGAGAACUUCCCGUUCUUGUAGGGGGCCAGGGUUCAGUUCCCAGCACCCACAUCUGGUGGCUCACAAGUCCCCGUAACUCUAGUUCCAGGGGAUCUGAGAGCUUCCUGUUGCCUCCUCUCACACCUGCACUGUAGGCACAUAGACAUACACAAAAAUCAAACUCUGGGAGUCCAAUCCCUGCGUUCCCAAUGCUGCCUGAGUAGUUUGGAAGGACUAAAGGGAUUCGUUCUAGAAAGUGCUAUUCUGAAUGAGAAAGUAUAAAACCUGUCUGUAUUCUCUACCGUUUUCCUGUGUCUCUGCCCUCCUCACCUACAGCUGCUCUCAUCUCGGAAGCUUAUAGAGAUAACAAACUAAAAGUUAAUCAUUAACUGAGAUUCACGAAAGACUCAGUAUGAAUAACCAAAUAUGGAAGAAUCUUGGGUGCUGUGACAGGAAACAGGAAGCUCAGUGCGGGGGCUGCGGGGUCCGUCCUUAAGCUCCGAGGCGCUUGCCCAGUGACUCAGAGACCACACCUGCCCACUCCACCUACUCACACGGCCACCACUGGGUGUGCUGCCCGGCUCUGCCAGACCCAUGCCGGCCUGCAUAUACUUUCCCUUAGCUGGAAGCUACAGGCCAAAGAGGACAUCCUGUCUUAAUGGCUAGGAGGUGCAGACAGGGAGGGACAAACCCAUCCAGCUUGGGGGCUGGAGAGAUGGCUCAGCGCUUCAGAGCAUUUCUUACUGUGGCAGAGGACCUGGGUUCAGUUGCCAGCACCUAUUCCAGCUCCAGGCAUCACUUUCUUCUGGACUCUGAGUAUGUACGUGUUCAUAUGUGUGCACUCACAUAUACAGAAUAAGAAGUAAAAGUAAUGUCUUAAAUGACCCGGCAUCAGCUAACUCACUCUGCUGAUUCAGACUCCGUCCUGUCUCCUGUAAGUGAAGAAUCCCUUUAUUAAAAAAUGAGUUAGUGGGGACAAGGUGGCUCUGCAGGAAAAGGAGCUUGACACCACGCCUGACAACGUGAGUUCAAUCCCUGGGGCUCACAUGGUAAAAACAGACUCCUUUUGUCUGGCCUCCACAUGUGGCUAUGGAGCGCACGUGCACACACACACACACACACACACACACACACAAACACACACCACACACACACACCACCACACGCACACGUGCGCACACAGAGGAGACUACAUACACAGGAUACUACACACACUCAUACACAACACUACACACAGAUUCAUGUACACACACAACAUGCACACACACAACACACACACAACACACACACACACACACACACACCACACAUACCACACGCACACACAUACAAAUAGAGGAGACUACAUACACAGGACACUACACACACUCAUACACAACAAUACACACAGAUUCAUAUACACACACAAUAAAGUAUAAAGUGUAGAAACAAUUCAAGUAUAAUUAAAAUAAAAAAAUUUUAUUGCAUGUCCUUUACUUUAUACAAAAAUACCAAGAAAAAGAUGACAGGCAUAAUUCUAAUAACAUGUCAAAAAUAACCGCAGUGUAAGGUGAUCAUGCUGCAAUGGAAGAUAGGAAGACAAAACGCUAGGUUCUCGGAAUGACGGCGUGCUUGCCCAUAGCUAGUCUAGGAGCCAUGUUUGAGGCAUCCAAAAGGAAAGAGCAUUCUGGGGUCCUCUGAGUUGAGAUGGGGGAAGGGUGGCGUAUAUACGCUUUUACUAACUUUCAGUAGAAAAUUUCAAGUUUUCCACUACGGAUAUAUAUUCCCAGUAGACCACAGAAGUAUUAACAGUGUCCUUGACUGCCACCAGCAGAAAGAAGAAUAUGCAAACACUGUAUUCUUGCAGGAUUAAGCACACAUGCUCCUACCAUAACGUGAAUCUGUGUAGUGCUCUCAGUCUUUAUGUUAAACCUAUGUGUUUUAUCUGGCACAUUUGAACACAAUAUUCUGAGAAGGAAUCCACAGGGUUCAGCAGACAGCUCAGAAGGCUAAGGGCUCCUAGAGUGGAAGCAGCCUGUCUUUGGUGAUACCCAGAAAGCCUUAUUGCUGAGCCGGUAUGUGACAUUUAGAGGCAAAAACAUGCUCUCUGAUUAACUCAACAGUUUCUUGAACAUAACAACCACAGAUGAGCCCACUGGAUGGAGCCCCGGAAACUGAACAUGAAGGCCCCAUCGUCUCCAAAGUGACUUUUCUCUGCAUGCCAGCAUGAGUCAGAGAGGAUGCUUAAAGUACUCCAGAGACAGGGGACUGGAAGCACAGAAGGUAUUAAUAGAAUCCCUCCCACCCCAGGGCUCCAGUUCCUCCCACAGCCUUCCUGGUCACAUGCUGGGCAUCCCAAGAGGCUGAACCUGACUGUGAGGAAGGCUAUUGGAGACACUCAGCUGAGUCAGGGGCCCCACAUGUUCUGUAGCCGUGACAGGGUCACAGUCCUGAAUCCGGCAUGAGGGAGUGGAAGGGAUCUGACUGAAUUAUUUCUGGAAAAAAAGAGAGCUCUGCUACUUGCCACCUGUCCCACAGUUUGAAGUCCCCGCCCCAGCAGAGUUUACGCUAAUCCCAGGAGUAUUGUCUUUUUGUUUCACAAGAAAACUUAGCAAGCUUUGCAAAUGGCACAGGGACAAAUCAACCGGCUGUUUUAGGAGUCACAUGGACCCGUAUUCUUCUCUCACACCCCAUUUCUCACUGAUGAGUGAGUUACUUUCAGUCACAGACUGCACGUAGUUUCCCGCAGCGGUAUGUCACCAGAUUACAUGGCGUCUUCACAUUCUCAGAGCAGGAGAAAGAAUGUCAGUUUUGCUUCUCACGGGCCAUGAAAAUUUAUUAGCCCUUGAAUUCCACAUUCAUAUUUGGUAUGACUUGUGGUAAGAGUAUGUUAAGAACGAUCAAGCAACUCGACAGCUAUUCACGUAACCCAAAUGGAAAUGACCCAAAUGUCUACCAACAGAAGACAGAAUAGGGUGAUUUGUAGUUCUACAUUCUACAAGGGUCUCCUGAACAGAAAUGAGUCUGAACUAUUGCUACCUGCAAGAACUCGGACCAAUCUCACGAGUAGAAGACUGAUAAGAACCAGAGAGGAGAGAGUAUCCACUCAAAGGUUCCAUUUAUGCAAAGUUCAGCCGAAGGCAAAGCAGGCCUCACAAUUAGAAGGCAGAACUGGGACUACUUGGGAACAGUGGCUGGAACAAGACAGGAGGAAAUUUGGAGUCCAAACAAUAAUUCUAGUUCUUGACUUGGUUAGAUAUGUGUGUGUGUGUGUGUGUGUGUGUGUGUGUGUGUGUGUGUCUGCUAUAUUUCAAACAAAAGUCGAUGAUUAAACCUUAGGCUGUGGACAUGGUAGGUAGUUCAGUCAGCCACCUGCUUACUUUUGAAGCAAGGGGACCUGAGUUUGACUCCCAGAGCAGACAUUUUAUAAAAAGUUGAGUGCAAUGAUUUGCAUUUGCAAUGCCUGCAUUGGGGUGGGGAUGGGGGUGGCAGUUGGGUUACAGAGCAAGGAGGAACCCCUCAGGUUCUCCGGCCAGCAAGCCCAGCUGAGGUGCGUGACAGGCCAGUGAGAGACCCUGUGUCAAAAGAUGAAAGAAAAGGAAAAAGGAAAGGAAAUGGAUGAUGUCUGAGGAAUUAAAUGCAAGGUUGUCAGCUGACCCAGACAAACAGAUGGACAGAUGGACGGACAGACGCAUGCACACAUGCACACACGCACAAACACCAUGAGCACAAGACAGAAAUGCAUGUGGCCUUUGUGUUUGGUUUUUAAUACAGCCUUCUCCAGAGUGCACGUGUUCCUUGGAGACUGGUAAUAUCUGAACUUGUGUCAUGACAUCAGAAGUUCUUAAUUGGGAUUUUUCCCCUAAUAAGGGUCACCAGGAAAUAACCUGUCCUGUCUUCUUUCUGUGACUGGAUUAUAGCGCUGCUUGACUGACGUUUUUUGUUCAUUUAAAUGACAGCUAUCCUCAAACCAACUAGAACCCGUUCUAAUGAGUUGAUUAAAUGGCCUUAACCAGAGAGCUAUGCUGAGGCCUGCCCUACAGAGAGCUUCUCCCCAGCAUGCAGGCUGACCAAGGUGGCUCUGCUUUGACAAGGGCACCAGCUAAUCCUGUACCACAGCGCUAAACUUGUUCCCCCCAUUGGUCUGCAAUGUGUGCUUAGCAUGAGGUCAAGUCAGUGGACCCUCCUUUUAAUUGGUCAGACCCUAGAGAACCCUCUCCCCCUAACUGGUAGCUCCAAGUGGGAGCCAUUUUCUAAGCAGGGCUAAGCCAAGCUGUGCAGUCACUUCCAGGGCCCUCCUUCUGUUCCUGGAAUCCUCUGCUGGGUCUGUUAAAGGGCUUGCUGUCCUCCGCCUUCUCUCUCCCCAUCUUUGCAUAGGAAGCUUCUGGGAUCAUUUUUGCUCGUGCUUCUGCCUCCCUGCCCACCCACUGUACUGCACAGCACUGCAGAUAGCUCUUUGUUGGUGGUGUAAAAGGCAGGAAGCUUGUUAAAGAGUCUCUGAAGCUCAGCUCCUAUUGCAAGGCCCCGUGUCCAGAAGAACAAUAAAGGGACCUCCCAUUUUCCAAAGCUCGCUUGGUCUUUCCCGUUUUUGGCUCUCUCUGGUGUAGGGUCCUCAUUCUACUUAUUCGAGUGGAACACUAGAGAAACAGCAGGUUCUGGGUUUAGAUAGAGCCUAUGCCUGAAUCUGGCAGGCUGCCUUCUAAGCCCUUUUGGCAAGUUAUUUCCCUCUGGUUUCAGCAAACUCUUAACCGUAAAAUGGGACCGAUACCAUCUUCCUUGCAAGGGACAAGGGAGGGUUAUAUAAACAGAACGUAUGUUGCUCGGAGAACAGUGUUUGUAGAUGGUACUUCAAGUGCAUUUACUCAUUCAGUAAAUACCCCAUUAGCUUGGAAUAGAUACCAGGAACCAGGAUGGCUGCAGUGACGCACAAAAGGAGUCCUGUUGUUAGUGCAGACUCCUGUGGGAGAGGCUCUCAUGACCACUAAGUGCAAAAAUGCUGUGAUUGUUAUUUAAAGAGAAAAACGUGCAGGAUUCUGCACACUCCCACCAUCCGCCUAUUUCGGCAACCAUUUCCCUCUAUAUGUGUGUGUAAGUCUUACCAGCAUCUAUACAUACCAACCACAGUGCGUUGCUGUUCAACUUUAUGCUCUUAUAAUUCCCUAUGCGAAGAGAAGUCUUAUAUAAAAUUAUAACUGUAUCUGAGCACGGAGACAGUUUCUUCUGAAACACAGGGUUUGAGAUGGCCCUUCUAACUUUCUGCUCUGCAGUUGUCUGCGGUGUUUGGGGUCUCUAGCGCUCGGGAUCAUGUAAGGUGCACUAACGCAGUCAGACUUUGUGAACUCACAACUGCGGAGGUGCAGACAAAAUGCCAAAAUGGAGGAUGCCAGGGUUGGCAUGAGAGGUAGAGAGACUGCAAAGUGCAGUGAAUCUUCAAGUGGUUAAAACCUAACGAUCCUCCCCUCCCACUUGCAAAGUCAGUACAGGCCCAAGUGGGUUUAGGGGUGAGGGCUUAGAACUCUAGAGGAAGAACAGAUUCCUGGCUGUGCUCUAAGUUAUCCCAAGAAGAUGAAGGGGAAAAGCUGCCAUGCCCGUUUUACAGUGUCGCUACAAUCAGAAGCCCUCAGUGUUGAAAGGGAACGAAAAGUCUAAGCAACUUCCCCCUACUCAAUGUGGAAAAGGCUUUUAAAGAAUUAGCUAAUUAAAUCUAACCCUCUAAUGACUGAGUCAUCAUUAGAGGUUCUGCCAACACAAUUGGGAGCAUUAGUAAGUUAACUUUUUAAACGCAUGUUAAUUUCAAUUAACGUAGAAAAGGGUUUUGAUGUAUUCUUUGCUUAUUUGUGACUUUAUAAAAAAUAAAGAAAGCAAACUGAGCAGUGAGUUCAAAGCAUUGGUUCCCUAAUCUCCUUCAAUGGAAGGCGUUCUUUUCCAUUUCCCCCUGCAAACAUCCUUGGUGCAGAAACCUGGAGUGCAUUCUUAAGAUGGAGAACAAGCAGGGAUUCUCACCUCCAUGCGCCGCUGACAAUCACAAGCUCUGAAGUGUCAGGUGCACAGAGAAGGAGCUAAGGUGCUCAGCUGUCAGCUUUGGUCCACGUAUGGCCAAGGACCCAGAGUAAACAGUUAAUGAACACACGUAAGAGGACUCUGAACAUCAAAUAGCUGGAAAGCAUACAAAAGCAAGAUACUGCCCUUGAUGGCAAGGUCAGGUUAAAAUGUCUGGCAUUUAACUCGGACAAGAGCACAGAGAAGCUGGGUACACCUGUAAUCUUAGCACUCCAGUGACAGAGGCAGGAGGCUCUGGAAUGGAAGAACAGUUAGGCUGUGAUAGCCAAACACUGUCCAAACACAAACCCACAUGGUCAUUCAUUUAAAAUGGGGAUCUCUAGUUUCAUUCAUUAUUUCUUUUUAAAGCUAAAGUAAUGAUUUGGGGGCUGGGCUAUGGCUCAGUGGGAAAAACCUGCCUGUCUGCUAGCCUGAGUCUGACCCCAGGAACCCUCAGGAAGGAGGAAACUGACUGUUUUUGUCCUCCUGACUACAUGCAUGUGGUGUGGUGUGUACCCACCCUAAUAAACAUCUCUCUCUCUCUCUCUCUCUCUCUCUCUCUCUCUCUCUCUUUCUCUCUCUCUCUCUCUCUCUCUCUCUCACACACACACA